AAGUCCUCGUUCUGCAUCCGUCUUUUUUUUUUUGGGUUUGAACCAUAUGACGCCAUAAAGUUUAGACCGUGAGGCCAAACUUGGCAUGUGAUACCUUUUCGGAAAUCCCAAAGAGAGCCCUCCGACCACCGAAGCAGGACAAUCGGUCAAAGUACCAUUUUUUUUUUCCAACUCCAUGAUAUAUUAUGAGACCAAAUUGAUUUGUUUAGACAUUGUUUUAGCAUAUUUUCAUGUAUCAAACUUGAUAUAGCUCAAAUUAUCCUUAAGCUUAAUCCCUCAAAUAAGAGAUCGUCGUGAGCACUUAAGGGUCGAAUUUCAAUAAGCUAUCCUUGCUCACACAAUAAACCUAUGAUGAUUAAUAUUAAGCUAGACAAAGUAACUGAAAGUAACAGACAAGAAAACAUUAAAUCGAGUUGUAAAUUCAGGAAAUUAAAGCGUCAGGUCUAGGGAUAGUCUCAAGAAAUAGAUAAACUAUAGAUCUAGCUAUGACAAGGAUUGUUAUCGAACCGUCACUAUUACAGACUAACUGGUGGUUCUCCUCAUUACUGACUAUGUCUAAAGCUAAGGAUUCCCAACGUUGGCUUGGCAAAAUCCCUAAUCCUAAACAUGCAUGCUAAAUAAGUUUGAUAAGUUCACCUAAGUAAACAUGCCGAGUCUUAUUACACACCUAUUAACCCGUCUCAUCUAUAAUAGUUCUGAUGAUAGAUGUCUUUUAGGGCACACCUAUUAUAUAAGAUCAAGAUUUAGGUGAUCAAUCUAGAACUAGCAGUUAGAAAUAUUAUAGAUGAAGAACUCUAAAAUUAACCCUAACAGGUUAUCGAUUUACUAAUCCAUCUAAAUCCCUAAUGAGACACCCUAAACCCAACAAGGAGACUACUCGGACAUUAUUAAAGAAACACAAAUCAUAAUUUGAAUAAACUGCAUUGAAUUAUAAUAUGAAAUAGAGUAAAAGGAGUUCAAAAUCUUCUCUGUAGGGAUAUGAUUUUUCUCUCUAAAAGUAUCUCUCUUACACAAAACUUGCUUAGGUCUAAACAAUGACCUUAAAAAUAUAUUUAUAUAUAUAGGUUACAAAAAAUAUGCAGGGUCUAUUUUGCAAAUAAGGAAAACUUCUGGGACUUCUUAAAGACUUGAUGAAACGUGGGAAUUCCUUUGUCGAAUAAGGGUGUCGAUCGACAUAGAUGUGGUGUCGAUCUACACCAUUGCAUGAGUAACGUUUCUGGUAGUCUUCUUAUAAAUGCAAAUCUAAUUCCCCAUCCUCAAAUUAGUCCUUCCCAAGGAUUGUUGUUUCAAUGAAUAAUUGUAGGAGUUAUAUCUUGAUAAAAUUAAAAAAACUACAAAAAAAAUCCAGAAUUUUGUGAUUUCUAGGCUUAAACAAAAGGAUUCACAAAUAAAAGCGUUAAUGCUACAAGCAGACCAUAAAUUGUUAAAGCUUCCAUAAAAACCAAACUAAGCAAUAAAGUAUGUAACACCCGUCCCGCCAUAUAGACCAAGACGGCAUGUUUUCAUCUGAUCUUGCCAAAAACGUUUUCUUUGAACUUCACACACGAACAAAAUAUUGCACACAACUCUUCACGCUUACUAACCUGAGGAAAAAGGAAAAAAGGGGGUGAAUAAAGAAUACUCAGUGAGGGGAAUUAACUCUGCCCACUGAAACAUAGACCACUUUGUAAAGCUAUACAACCAUCAUCAUAACAUAUAAACUUAGACACACACAAUCAACCUAACAUGCUUUAACUUCUAAUACCACAUUUAUAAUAAUCAUCUUAUAUAUAUAUAUAUAUAUAUAUAUAUAUAUAUAUAUAUAUUAUAUAUAUAAACAUACACAUCGUUAGGUCAAGUCAUCCCCGUGACGACUAGAACCUCAUGAGUGGAGGCUGGCCCUCAUGGCUCAGACACUCAUAUUCUGGGCUCGUCAGCCGUUCUUGACCAGCUGUUAACCCGUCGGUCCAUCACUGUCCACAUCACUAGGGAGACCACAGCCCAUAGCUCGAUUCUCCUCAGUCUUACAUACAAACAUACAUAAUCAUCAUAUAUACAUACUUAUACUUAACAUUCUCAUACAUAAUAUAUCAUAGUAAGACAUCAUCACCAUACAUGUCAAUCAAUAAUCAUCAAAUCAUAUCAUCACAUCAUCUUAUCCUACGCAAUCAGAUCAAAGCCUACAUACUAUGCGCCAAGAAGCAUAACAAAAGAAAAUGAUAAUAUGUUUCGCAAAUACCACCCUCACCUAAACCUAGUUGAAGAUGAAGAACAUCUCUAUUCUCUUUUCUCUCCUUUUAGACCAACUUACUAUAAGAGCUUUAACUGCAUACUCUUGAGCUCCACCUUGCUUCUCCAUCAACCAAAACCUUACUCCAUGAGUCCUAAAGGUUUCUGCAAAGCUUCAGCUCCAACCGAACCCGUUUCCCAUUCAAACAAUAAAAACUUGUCAUGGUUUACUCCAUACAAAACUGUCUCAGUAACAUACUCAUAAGUCGAGAACUAACCGUUAGAAACGUAAUCCCACCAUUAAAUAUGUAGCCAGUAGUAUCAGAUCGGACCUCACAUGAAUCUCCCACGUUCUUCUGAAGAUGUUGCAUCAGAACUGAUAUCUAGGUUUCUGCAACUUGAUAUGAUUUUGGGCAACCUUUCAAAGUCAAAUACGGAUGGAGCUUAAAUCCGAUGGACAAGAUGUCAGCUACACUGAGUUCCUUGAAGCAAGAUCAUUCCAUAGACGUCUUGAUCGUGAUCUAAUUCCUUUUGCUCCAUCGGGAAAACGCAUCGCAAAGCCAAUAGUCACACACUGUUCUGGAUUUAUACUUAGCCCAGAUUUGGACAGCUUCUGUAGUUACUUACCCAGAAAGAAACACUCAUAACUUCUUGAAUAUAAUCUUGAUUCUAUCUCUGUCAGCGGCUAUGGAUUCUUGACAUUAUGAUUAUUGCAAUGACACCACAUGCCACACUUGAUUCUCUCUGAUUCAACGGGAAAUUAAUCCUGAAAACCUCUACCUGAAACUACAAUGUUUCUCAGAUACUUUAGAAAAAACUGCGCUCUGAAAACUGUGACUAUUCACCAAUUUUAAACGCGAUUUCCCGAUUGAUCUUACAUCUGAUUUUGGAUCGAAAAACUGUUCUGAAAACUUGGGAACGAGAUCUAUUCAGAACCGUUAAGAACUCGCCCAAACUCCUUCGGACGUGACGGGAAACGGAUCACCAAUUCCACCACUUGAAUUGUUUCCUUCUUUCACAUAUUCACACAAAAACUCAAAAGCUAACUUGAUAUAUCUAAUCAAGCCGUUGUUUAAUGGUGAUGAUUCGUGACAUUCGCUUUCACUCCACCCUUGUACGUGAUCAAAAACAAAACCAUACGCUCCAACAACUCCGAUCUCAACGUCAAUGGUGAUGGUGGCUUGGGAUCAAGUUGAUUUGAUGUUCUUAGGUAAGUAAUGAGUUGCUAGAGAUGAUGACGUGAGAAGGCUGCGGGAAGAUGACGAUAUAAGCAUAUAUACAUACACAUGUAACGAAACCUUAUUAUUUUGUGACUUGCUUCACUUGGGCUUCAAUGGGCUCCAUGGACGUUUGUUUUUAACAAAACAAAUAGGGUGGGUUCAAGGGAUUGGGUUUGGGGUGUUACAAAGUACCUCGUAUUUUUCCUUCUGCCUCAGGUUGUCUCACGAUACCUUCGACAGCUUGACCCGCAGUUGUACCUUGACUGACUCCAGGUUCAAUAGAAGCAAGCCCAACAGCCAACCCGGCAACAAUAACCGAAGCAGCAGAAACAUGUGGAUUCAUGAUAAGUUCCUCACACAAAAAUAAAGAAAUAGUUAAUGAUACAAUCAUCCCUUAGGACGUAAUUCUAAUUAAGUAAUCGCUAAGAUUAAUCCAGCCAAAAAAACACAAAAACUUUAAUUGAAAUAUGAAAAAAUAUAAUAAAAUUAUUGAAUCAUAAGAAUUACUUUGAUAGUAGUUCCUAUCCAUGGGAUUUUUAAAAAUCCAUAAUAUAUAUAUAUAUAUAUAUAUACGACUUGUUUAUGCCAUUUUUUUAUUAACCAUUUUUUGAAUUCUUCCUUCUAUUUUUAUCAUAUUUUCAGCCAAUUCACAGAUAAAAAGGAAGAACUUCUAAUCGAAUCCCUAUCUAAAUAUAGAAAUUCACAAAAUAGUAGAGCACAUUCGGAUUAUAUAGAUCUUUAACUAAUAUAUAUAUCUAGGCAAUAUCAAAUAUCACAUAUACAAGUGUUUCUUACAUAAUGUAAACCAACUAUUCUAUAAUUAAUUGGGCUAACCUAAACAAGAAUAUUAAAAAAAACCCAUUAAUGAUGACCUUCCAUAGACUCACCUAUAUAAGCCGCAGCUAAAGUGGCAAAAACGAGAGCUUGAAUCCCGCUUGUAAACAAUCCAAGGAACAUAACAGGUAUAGGAACCGCUAAAGGUACUAAAGAAACAAGAACAACAACGACUAAUUCAUCGGGUAAUAUAUUUCCGAAAAGUUAAAAACUAAGUGAUAGGGGUUUCGUAAAAUCUUCUAAGAUAUUAAUGUGUAAAAGAAUUGGGGUUGGUUGAAUGUAUUUACUGAAAUUCCCUAAUCGUUUUUUGCUAAGCCCCGCAUAAAAAUAGGCUACUAAUGUGAGUAAAGCUAAAACAACCGUCGUAUUUAUAUCAUUCGUUGGUGCUACUAACUCCCCUUGUAAUAACUGGAUAAUUUUCCAGUAAAAGGGCUCCUGACCAAUUAGAAACAAAAAUAGUAAAAACAGGGUUCCAAUAAAGGGAACCCAUGGACCAUAUUCUUGUCCAAUCUGGGUUUUACUUAUGUUUCGAAUGAAUUCAAGCACAAAUUCAAAGAAAUUUUGGCCGUCAGUUGGAAUUGUUUGUGGAUUGUGAAUCGCUAGAACUGCAGAACCUAAUAAGAUAGCAAUUACAACCCAAGAAUUACUAAGAACUUGGGCAUGGACCCGGAAACCCCCUAUUUGCCAGUAGAAAUGUUGGCCUACUUCUACACCAAAUAUCUCAUAUAACCCUUCUUUUAUUAGUGUGUUGAUGGAACAUGAUAAAACAUUCAUAUUGCCCUCUGACAGAAAUAAGAACUUUAAAUUAUUUUGAUUCAAGACCCCCCCCUUUUUCGUUUUGGAUCACAACUAAAUAAAUCACACAAUAUCCCCAGUUUUUUUUCUCUUUUUCUUUUCUACAAUUCAGGAGUAGUAAACGAUUUUUGAAAUCAAAAUACAGGGAGCCCCUCCCUAAGACAAAAUUGAUUUAUUUAUCUUAUUAUUAAUCAAGAAUUUUGUAUAUAGCUAGAACGGCCCUCACAUAUUGCGAAUACUAAUUUGUUAAGAAUGAAUCGAAUUGAAGCUAUAGCGUCAUCAUUUGCGGGAAUAGAAAUAUCCACGAGAUCGGGAUUACAAUUUGUAUCGAUUAAAGAAAUGGUUGGAAUUCCCAAAGUGAUACAUUCUCUAAGAGCCGUCUAUUCUUCUUGCUGAUCGAGGAUGAUUACAAUAUCAGGCAAUCCCGUCAUAUAUUUAAUCCCACCUAGAUAUGUUUCCAUGCGAGAUAAUUGUCUCUUCAACACAGCUGCAUCCCUUUUCAGAAGACGGUUGAAUCCCUCUGUCUUUUGUUCAGUUCUAAAGUCCCUAAACUUAUGAAGUAUUUGUUUUGGUAGUGGACCAAUUUGUUAACAUGCCGCCGAGCCAUUUUUUAUUAACAUAAUGAAACCAAGCCCGUAUUGUAGCCCGCGACACUAAAUCAGCUGCUUUAGUUUUUUGUCCCAACAAUUAAGAAUUGUUUUCCCCUACUUGCCGCAUCAAAAACUAAAUCACAAUCUUCUUAUUAAAAAUGAACAGUUAUAGUCAGAUUUAUAAUCUGAAUACCUUUAUGUUUUGUAGAAAUAUAAGGUGCCAUUCUAGGAUUCCAUUUCCUCGUACCAUGUCCAAAAUGAACUCCUGCUCUCAUUAUCUUUUCCAAAUCGAUGUUCCAAUAUCUUUUUGUCAUAUAUUUUCACAUUUAAAAAGGGGGCACCCCAAACUAAAAUAAAAUUUUGUUCCAAUAGAACCUUCUCUUGUACCAGGGAUGACCAUUUAUGCAUGAAUCAAGCCAUUCUUUUGUAUUGAUUAUUAUCUUUAUUAGUGUUAACAAAUUACGAAAGCAAAUGACUACAACAAACAACAAAACCUAAAAAUUUUAAAUAGUCCGCUAUUAGAAAUCUUUAAAUCCUAGAAAAAUCAGAUUUGGAAAUAGAAGAGUCACAAAAUUCCCUGUGGUAGAAUAAAAUAUCUCUCAUAUCUCCCUCGAAUAAAGCUAAAUUCUUUGUUUUUUUCCAAAAUAAUGUUGGUAUGUUGCCGUGAACAAUACACCAUUCCUUUGUUGAAUCUGAUCCCGGUGGGGAUCAUCCCCCCUAGAACAACAUUUUCUUUCAGGCCUUUCAACAAAUCGAUAUGACCCCGAAGAGCAAAAACUUUUUCUAAAACUCGAGCAGUUUAUUGAAAACUUGCUUCGGAUAUAAACUUUGAGUAUUCAAAGAUGCUCGAGUUAAUACUAAUAAAACGGCUCGAUAACAGAUUGCUUCUUCUAAAGCACGCCCCGCUCAUAAUAAUCCAAUAAGUUCUCCAGGUAAAAAAGCAUUAGCAAUCCCUCUUCGGAAACGAAAACUUUUGAUGUUAGUGGACGUACAUUAAUUUCCGUUUGCCUAUUAUGAAUCUACACCCCUUGGGAUCGAUAAACCUUUUGAAUCUUAUAACCAAAGAAAUACGACUUUGCACUAUAGUUAACUCAGCACCACUCAAGAAUCCCCAAGGAAUUCCAAGAAUUCUUGUUAUACACUUGUUCGAACUCUUAAUCCGUUUUUCUAAGUUCAACGAUACUGAGUCAAUCGAGCGGACUUUUAAUACUUUUUCUACUUUUGGAAGACCUUAGGUUAUAUCACCGGAUCUCGAUUUUUUAUAUAUAAAUGUAACUAAUGUAUCCCCUUCGUAAAGAAUUUCGCUAUAAUGCCCAUGAACUUUUGCUCCCGGAGUAGCCAAAUAGGGCUUAGCGGAUCUUAUUACUGCAGAAUCCCUCUGAACAAUUAAAACUUGACCCGAUUUUAGGUGCGGUUCUUUUUUAGCUAUACAUACAUUUUCACAACAAAUUUUUCCAAGACUAAUUAUUGUGGACGUUUCUUCACAAACAUUAUGAUGAUAAUUUUGAUGAAGAAAAUACCAAUUCAAUUUGACUUGAUUCAAAACAACGUUACUGUAUGGGUCGAGAUUUAAAAUUCUUACGUUUUCAUCGAUUAAGUAAGAGUUAAUUUUUUGAAAAAUAUAUUUUAAGUUAUCAAGUCAAAAAUAUUUAAUUAAAGAGAUUUGAUUAUAAAUUAGUAAAGGCAAAAACGAAUAAAAAUUUGAAAUUGGGGUAGCUGUUCCUAAGGGUCCCAACAAAUUUUCAAUGGUAAUUAGAGUUUUUUUUUCUUAUUAAAUUAUUUAUCACAUUGUGAUGUUUUACAUGAUUAAAUGGACCCAUUCUAAAACAAUUAGAUGAUGAUAAAAGUAACAAAGAUUGGGACUCCUUAUUUUGAUUUAAGAACAUGUGAAUAGUUCCGUGAUUUUGUCUAAGUUAUUGUUGAAGAAUGCCAGACUUUGGCGAAAUCGAAUAAAACUGAUUCAUGUGAUCUAUAGAGAUUAAUCCCGAAUCUGACGAAUUAUUCCUUUUCCUUAUAUAUGAAAUAUGGGAUUUCACUACGCCAGUUCUUAUGAAAUCUUGAAUCAAACCCUUUGUACUUACUUCAACAAAGAAAGCACGGACCUCUUCAGAGAAGAAUUUUUGUCCCAAUUCAAGACUAAACAAGUUCGAACUAAUUGAAUACUUGUGUCAAAAAUUCCUCGAGUUGGUUUGCCAUUUCCAUAAAGGAUAUAGUUAAAAACUCGAAGUUGAAUAGUAUCAUUUCCCCGAAAGAGAUCUUGUUGGAAGAGUGUUGCCAAAUUUAUCUCAUAGGUGGCUACAAGGCCGCACCAAAACAAAAAAAAACUUUUUCUUGGUUGGUGUAAUCCGUUGGACAUAAAUAGGAUUUUUAAAUUUUUUGGAUUCCUUUGAGUUUGUUUUUCCUCUUCCUGGCGGUAUCAAGACGCCACUGUGUCGGGAUAUUUUAUCUGUCUUGUCGGGAAAAUGGAUAUCCCCUGAAAAUAUUUGAGUCCAAUCCUUUUUUUUUCUCUACUCGGAUCAACCCACCGACUUGGCUUCUUAUAUUUAAAGUGAGUCGCGUAUCCACUCCAAUGAUACUAUAGUUCUGUACCAUUAUGGCAGAGGAUUCAGGUAAAAUAUGCACUUCCUCAGGAAUGAAAAAAAAGCGAUCUACUUUCAUUUCUUAUUUUGUCUUAAUUUUUUGGACUCCUUGAUACUCAAUCAUAUCCUCUUUUGGAUGAUUGAAUCCGCCUUUAGAGUCCCAUAUAUAAGAAUUCCGGAACUCUUUCUUCGGUAUCUAGGAUCAUCAAAAAAAGCAAAAAUACUAUGUCUAUGGAAAAUACCAUUUAUGGGUAUUUCAACGGCCUUUUUCAACCGAGAUACCUGCCUGCGGUAUGAAUUCUUUCUCUUGCUCUUGAACCGAUUGGAAUGGAAUAAGAAAUCUAUUUCUUCGUCUUUUUACUAAUAAAUCCGAGUUCUCAUGAAAGAUAGCAGAAUAUAUUAAAAUAUAAUGACUAGUACCUAAGUUUCCAUUCAAUUCUGAAUAAUCGUAAAUCCCUAAUUUUUUGCAUGCACCUAAAGAUAAGAUAGAAAAAAUAAAAAUAAUUAGUAAAAUACGAAAAAUAAAAAUCCUGGACUAAAUUCAAUUCUAAAAAUCCUAGAGGCAAUCGUUUGGUCCCCGGCAACGGCGCCAAAUUGAUUUGAGGUCAAUUAAAAACCUAAAUAUGCAAACUACCGGAUCAAUUCGGUAAUCAAUUGUAGUACUUUAGGAUCGAAUCCACAGAGACCAAGGAUACACUUUAAGACAUUUAGAAUAAAUAAAGCUAAGAUAAAAUCAAUUAAAGUUUUUAUUUGGUUUUCUAAUUAAACUAUCAAGCGAAUAAAUUAAGCAAACAAUUCAAAUAAUUAAACAAGCAUUAGGCAUAGGAUAUUCAUCAAGGAUGUGAGAUGACAAUUCAAUCGAUUAGUGAGAAUAUUUAAGAACCAUCCUUGAACUCAAUUCACGAAAGUAUAGAUAAUUCGCUAUUGCGACGGAACCUAACUAAGCAAUACUAAAUCAGAACCUAAACCAUUGUUUGACUCUAAUAAAGCAAAGCAAGCAUUAACCAACAAGAUUGAUAUGUUCACAAGAUUAAUCAACUUAAAAUCAUAGAACUAGUUAGCUACUCAAGUCGUAGCAUUAAGAACAACAUAGAAUAAGAACCAACAAGAUGAACUCCCAAAUCUAACAACCUAACGAAUCAAUCACAUCCCUUAGAAAUCCUAUACCUAGUAAGCAAACUACUCAGACAUAGAAUCAAGAACAAAGAACAACAUAGAAGAAGACAUCUUUAUUCAAGAAUCAAAUUAAGAAGAAAGCUUCAAAAAAGUUUUUGAGAUAUGAGAUCUCUAAGCUUACAAAACUAAAGAAAAGCUACUGCUAAAAAUCGUGUCUAGGUUUACAAGGUUGAGUCUCAUCGUUUUAUAGAGAAAGGGAAAUCAUAAAAAUGUAAAUAAUGAGAGAAAAGGAAAGUCUUGAGUCGGCAGGGAGGGACUGAUCAGUCUCGGGUGAGGACCGGUCGGUCCCUGGAACAUUCUUCACGAUCUAGAGCCACUAUCUUCAGGGGACCGAUCGGUCUAGGGCAGGACCGAUCGGUCCUGGCACAUUUGAGAGAUCAGACUCUCGGGUCUCUAAGGGGACCGACUGAUUCUUUGAGGGAAUCGACCGGUCCUGGCCUCAUUUUUUCAUACUUGACUCAUUUUCAUGCCAGGACGAUCCAAAAUCUCUUUUUUCAAAUUAGGCACUUUUUAGACCUGUAAAACCACGAAGUGUAGCAGAAAGAACUAAAACCUAUCUAAUAUAAGUUAGUUGACUCAAUAUAUAAUCCUAAAACAAAGACUAAAAACGAUAGAAGAGGACACAUCACUUUGUGAGUGAAUCAAGUGAGAUGUUUUGUAUAAGGGGACUAUCAUGCAGUCUCCUUCACUCGAAGCAACAACAAGAUAUGGUCAAGUACUUGGUUAUUUUUGCUCCUUCAUCCCAGAUUUUGGUCGGGUUAGGUUCGACUCUCAAGCACCGGUGUAGUAAGUCGGUAUAUUUUAUCGCGUUGCCAUUCAUUUAAAUUCCUGAAGUCUCCUAAUAUCAAGAGAGAACAUAUAUGAAGUCGAAAUUUCUUCGGUGAUUUUGGUUUCCCUUUUUGGUUAAGAAUAUAAAUAUUUCAUUAAAAACAAAACGAUUAUGUUUAUAAACCUAGAGAGAUGGUCCAAUGGCAAAACAAAACUUAAAAAAUUGAAGCAUAUAUAGUCACGAAAGAACUCAGUCCGCCCACUCGACUAAAACACUAGGUUAUGGUUAUUUGAGUUAGAUGAAGUGAAAAACGAUGAUUGGUUAUUUUCGUUUUCUUUGUUUGUUUGUAUAUUCCACGAGUGGAUUUUGAGUAAAUUUUAUAUCCUUAGACCAUUUCUAGUGGGUUCUGAAUGGGGAUAUUUAAGCUAAAAAGUAUUAAAAUAAACAAGGUUUUAAUCUGCGGGGUAUUUCUUGUAAGUUUGGUAAAAAUUUGUGUGAUCCAUAAUAUUUACUAAAAUGUUUGGAAAAAAUAAAAAAUAAAAAAUUUGAUGGUUUUAGCACGAAAAAAAAUUAAACGGGAGGUGAAAUCAUCAGACGAUAGUAUUUUAAACACAAUAAAAGACAAAUAAAAAGCAUCGCUGGUAUCUUAUUCACCAGUUUAAAAGCGUCAAUACUAACCAUCAAACGUUCAUAUAGUAUAAACUCGACUCUCUUUUAAUAAUUCUUGGAAAAGUAAAAACCAUUAGUAAAAAUCAAUAUCAAGAUUCUAUACAGAAUUUUUAUGAUUAAAAGAUAAAAUCAGGCUUUUUUUCUUAAAGGUUAUCAACGUAAAAUUUGAAACACUAACACAACUCAUAGAUUCAUAAGGAAAAAAAAAAGACAAAAUAUUAUACUUAUAAAAUAAAUUAGGACAUGUUGAUCUGUUGAAACAAUAUAAAAAAUUUUGGAUCGAUUAAAUUUUUUUGCCUUUUUAAGAUUUAAUAUAUUGCAUUUUUUUUUAUGAGACUAAAAUUUAACUAUUUUUAUGAGAUAAAAACUAACUUUUUUUAUUGGGACUUUAACGAUUUAAUAUAGGGUAAUUGCAGGUCACACUCUUUGAUCAUGUUUUAUUUUUAGGGAUUGCCAAAAUUAAAUGUCGUUUUCACAUUUUGUCUUUUCGGCUGAAAAAUGACCCUUUUGCCAUUGCGCUUCUAUUUUACGAACUGUUGAAUGUACGGUUUAGUUUAGUAGGUUUAUUUAUGUAUACUGUUCCGGUUUAGUUGAAGAUAUAUUUGUUUCACGUUGAUCUGCGAUUCUGUUCAGUUACAAGGGAGAUUACUUCCAUUACAAACAAAGUGACAUCAACAUUUAAUGCCCCACAAAGUUUAGAUGUGACUAUUGUCACAAUCAAUGCAAAAUCAUCAUUACAUGUUAUAAUAUUAAAAAAUUAUUGAUAAUAAUUGUUGAGUUAAAGAAGAUGAACCCAGGAACAAACAUUAAUUGCGACCGCACAUUGCUGCUGAAGAAGUGUUGAUCUUGUUUUUGUACGAAAUUUGGAGCCAAUACAAGCAUUGAUCGUGUAAGUAAUGAAGUUCUUUUAAGAGUUUUUUUUGUUAUGACAUAUUAGGAUCUUGAUUGUGUUCGAACUCAACAACGUUUUUUACAGAAAAACACAGAAAAUUUGAAGAUAUAAAUUUGUAUGUUAAAAAUAGUAAAUGAGUAGGUAUUUAGGUUUAUAAAUGUGAGUAUCGACAUUCUAUUUUUUUUGUAUAUAUAGUCUUUUUCAGUUGCAUUUAAUGUGUGUCUUCUGAAUUUAUGAUGCAAGUGGGUUAUGAAUAUUUCCGUAUUUACUAUGGUCGGUGAGUGGAGAUGCAAAGAAGAAGAACGGAAAUUUGAACCUGAGGAAGGCAUGUUUGUUCGUUGUGUACGCACUCAGGAAAACAUGACGUACACAGACUUUGUCCGUACACUAAGAGAGGCUUUCAGUUUGAAGUCCACCGAGAUCAAUCCCAUAAUUAGCUACUGGAUGCCGGGAGAAAUGUCAGUGCUGAUAGAUACUAAACGCCCUCAUGUAUACAUUGACAGUCAAAUGGGUCUCGAUACGUUCUUUUUGGUUCGUGGUGGGUAUCAUUCUCUCAAUUUGUUCCUCUCUUUCAUUACUACCGUCAAGGCGUUUGGAAUACUGUCUCUAGGACUCACAGUGACGUUUCUGAAACUGACCGUGUGUUUGAUAGUGCUACAAAUGUUGAUGAAAAUAAUGAGGAUGCAGAUGAGCAAGCCGACGUUGAAGACGAUACAACAGAUCAGGAUGAAGUGGAGGAGGGCAACGAAGAUGAUGAUGGGUAUGAUGAUUAUCAUGGUGAGGAUGGAUAUAUUGGGGAAAGUACCCUCUAUCCUACCAUAGACAGUAGUGAAGGUAUUGGCGAAGAAUACAAUUACAACAGCUGGAACGAUGUAAUUGUAGAAAAAUAUGGAAUAAAAAAUGUUGAGGAAGACGUCAUUCUCACUCAACAGACUGCUCAACAUCUAGGGGAAUUCAGUCGUCUAUUGGAAGAGUGUACCUGGCAGAGAUACAAUUUCUCCAUUGGGUGACGGUAGACGCUGCGAAGGUAACACGGAUACCAAUCUUAUUGGUAUAGACGAUGUCACCAGGGAUGAAGUCAUCGACCGUGGUAUUAGAGCUUCCGCAACUAGGACACUAAAUGAUAAUCGGGUAGUUACCACAGUUGAGGCUUACCAAGUGUAUAAUGAAUUUUCUACAUUACAUGGUGGUGAGUUGGCGAUUCUCGGUAACGAUGUUGCUCCGGUGUUCGAUGAUUUACUCAAUUUUUGAGCCGAUGAGACACAUGUUGAACUCAGCACCACAUGUGAAACUUUGUAUGUGGGGAGUGUUUUUAAGAACAGAAAAGUCCUUCAACAAACAAUGUCUUAUCAAGCGAUCAAGCAAUGCUUUUGCUUCAAGCAACCUAAGUCAUGUCCUAAAAUAUUGAAGAUGGUAUGCGUUGAUGAUACUUGUCUAUGGCAUUUGACUGCUCACGUCGUCAAAGAUUCAGAAAGUUUCAAAAUCGCAUUGUAUGCUACCACACAUACGUGUGACAUUAACUCUCGAAAGAACUACAAUAAACAUGCUAAUUAUAAAGUGUUGUGAAGAGCAGAUACAGUUCUACGCAAGGGAGGCCUCGAGCUGUCGAUUUACCACAGUUGCUCUUAAAUGAUCUCAAUGUGCGGAUUUCAUAUUCUACCGCUUGGAGAGCUAAAGAGGUUGUAGUGGAAAAUGUAAGGGGGAUGAGAUCGCAAAUUACAGGUUUUUGUCGACCUAUUUGUAUCUUUUCCAAAUAGCUAAUACGGGUACAAUAACCCACCUACACUAUACACCUGAAGAUGAUGGUAAGCAGCGCUUUAAGUAUGUCUUUGUCUCUCUUGGCGCUUCUAUCAAAGUUCUGAUAUAUAGUGAAGCCAUAUCAGCUGCCUUCUCCUCCACCUAUCCCGAUGGAGCCACAGGUCUUUCAGCAGUACGUUGUCGACAGUUUCAAGAGCGUCUGGAACGCCAUAGCUAUACUUUCUCGUUGCGGUUGUGUUGCUCCCAGUCGUCCUCGUCGUCGCUCUCCCGCACCUACCUCCGGCUCGGAGCAUAAGGACUAGCCAUCCUCCUUCUCUUGUUCUGUUUUCUGACUUUUUUUCUGCUUUAUUUCAGACUAUUGGUUAUUUGUUUUGAAACUUGUUGCACUUAUUUUCUUAUGCUUUGUUGGAACUAUUGAUGUGUGUUUUAUUGAUUUAACAGUCUAACUGGAGGAUCCAUGUGAAAACACUAACCAAGGCUCUACAACAAUGAGAAGAAUUCACAAAGCAGAGCGAAACGACCAGACUGUCGAUCAACACCACUCUCAGGUGGCAACUCACGUUUUCUAUCUUUUAACUUUUGAUUAUUUCUCUUUCGAUUCGUCUAGCUUAAUAACUCUGAGGACAGUGUUAUCUAAGUCUGGGGGAGUCAGUUAGUAACUUCAUCUUUUCUUUUUUUAUGAGUCAGUUGUGUCAUUUUAACUUAGAUAGUCAUUUUAUGAGUCAAAACUUUUGUCUGAAAUUAUGAUCUAUCUCUCGAGUUUAUUGCCUGGAUUGCUUAAGUACCGCAGAUUCAAAUCAAUCCGACUAAUGAAAAAUCUAGAAAGCCAAUCAACAAACUUAAGGACAUCCAUUCCCAACAUAAUCCACAAAGGCUGGAGCUAAUCUCACUACUCUUCCUUUUACCUCAUCAAAACGGUUAGUGCUCAUAGGAUUUGACUCCUUGUUCAUACCUGAUAAAUUGACUAAUGUGUUAAAAAGAAAGUGUUCCUCUCCCAACUAAAAAAAAAUAAUAAAAUAAUAAAUAACAAGAGAUUGAGAAGACUUUCAGAUAGUGUAUAGGGGUAGGAAUGUUUCCUACGACCCCAUUAUUAUACAUUAUUUGGAACGAUCAAUUACAAAGGUUGGAAAAAUGCUGAGGGUGUCGAUCCAGUAUGCGAGUUCCUCUUUGUGUACUCUCUAAAAAUAAUAAGUCUGGGGGAGAGAAAGAAUACCAAAGAAAAAAAAGAAAAGAAUGGUCGAUUUAUCAUGGUAUAGUACAUGAAUGAGUCUAGAAGGUUCUUAAGCAUUUACUUGAUUGAUGAGACCCAGCGAUGAUAGCCUAGUGGAUAUAGUUGAGUGCUUUGUUAUGGAAUCUAGGAUGUUGUGUGGGCUAGCGGAGAAUUACAUGGUGGUCAGGAUUUGAUUAGAACUGUUUAGUGCAUGGAUUUGGUUUGUAUGAUCAAGGUAAUAAACCAGAGAGAUUGGGAGAUUCUAUGUUUUUCAAACCUCUUUGACAGAUUCAACCUUUUGUUUUGCUUGAGACAAGCAAAAGCUAAGUCUGGGAGAAUUCAUAUGUCUUGGUUUUUACUGAUUUCUAACAUAGUUUCAGAAUGGUUUUUAGAGUCUUUCUAGUCUUUUUCGUACGUUUUGAGUCAUUUCAUGUACACUUACACAUCUGGGAACUAUGGAGCACAAUAAGGAAUUUUGGAAGCUUUUCCGCAAUGAAGAUCUUGAAGGACGUUUUUCAGAAGUUGAUGUCGAUCGACACCACACCUGUGUCGGUCGACACUCGUAUCGCUGCCAAGGGAAUUCUCGUUUUCUACCAAGUCUUUGAGAAGUCCUGAAGUCUUCCUUAUUUGCAAAAUAGUCCCUGCACGUUUUUAGGGACAAAUAUACCUAAUUGUUUGGUCAUUGUUAGACCUAGUUUUUGUUGGAGAGCUUUUGUAACACAUUUAGAGAGAAGAAUCCAAUCCCUUGAGAGAGGAUUCUGAACUCCUUUGAUAUUAUUCUUAAUUCAUUAAUGAAAACUAUUCAGAUUAUGAUUUGUGUUUCUAUUGUCAUGUCUGUGUAAUCACCUUGUUGGGUUUAGGGAGUCUCAAUAGGGAUUUAGAUGGAUUUAUAGUUCGAAAACCCCUUAAGAUUAUUCUUAGAGUUCUUCAUCUUGAUUAUUCUUAAUGCUAGUUUUAGAUUGAUCACCUAGAACUUGAUAUUAGAUAAUAGGUAUGCCCGCCAUAGGUACUUGUUAUUUGAACUAUCAUAGAUGAGCCUAGGCAUUUAAGAAAGAACAGGUAGGCUCAUAGAAAGGCUCUGGUUUAGAUACUAGGUGAACUAAUCAAGCUUAUUAACAAUGCAUGCUUUAGCAUAAGAUUUCUCGGCUUCUCUGGUUAUCUUAGCUUUAAGUAUAGAGAGUUUCGCGGAACGCCACCGGUUACUCUAGAAUCAUAGUUUGAGUUCGAGAACGGUGCGAUAACAAUCUUGAUAUUAGCUAGUUCUACAAUUUAUCUAUCUCCCGAGACAAUUCCUUAGACUUGACGCUUUAAUCACUUGAAUCUACAACUCAUUUACUUGCUUAUUUGUCUUUAACAUUCAAUUACUUCAUUUAGCUUAUUAAACAACAUCAUAAGUAUAUUGUGUGAACAUCAAGAGCUCAAUGGAAUUCGACCCUUAAGUGCUAACGACGAUCUCUUCUUUGAAGGAGUAAGCUUAAGGCAAUUUGAGUUAUAUCACUCAGAAAGAAGAAAAACAGAACAUGAUGUCACAUUUCCACCAACAUACUCGAUCACCAGUAGGAGAGAGGGAAGCAGUCAGCUAAGCAGUCCAUCCAGACACUUACACUCGAUCGCAGAGAAGAGGAGGCAGUCCCAACUACAAUUCUACUCGAUCGUAGAGGCGACCAGGCAGUCCACUUUGCCAGUCCACCAGUUCUACUCGAUUGCAGAGGAGAAGAACCACUCCAUCCUGACAGCUGAUACACAUACUCGAUCACAAAGGCCAAGAAGCAGCCCAAACCAUUUUGUCAACCAACCUACUCGACCACCACCUCGACCUUUCUAUGUUAUUGUCUUUAAGCAUGUUGUCUGAGUAGUGAUUAGGAUUUUUGAGGAUGGGAUAGAGUAGUUGUGGAUCCCCUGGUCGAAUCUGGUUGUUAAGUGUAGAUUUAUUGAAUCCCUUCUGGAUUAGUUGUGUUUACUGUUUAUUCCUUUCUGAUCAACUGGAAUCCGAUCCCAGACGUUCCAGCGCCCAGAAGGCGUUUAAUGGAACGUUGGCUCUACUAAUUCCAGUGAUAAUUGUCUCUAUCCCAAGGGAUUGGCCGUUUAGAGCGGUUAUUGGCUUCAACAGUCGGUUCUUAUUGCCUGCUUACUAAGAUCGCUAAUUGGAAUUAGGUCAGUGUCUAGCUAUGCUUGAGGAUUUCUAUCACUGGAGUGAAUUAAUUUGUUGUUGAACUUGUUGUCUAGGGAUAGUUUAAUUGAGAUUUGUUACCAAACUGAAUUGAUUAGGGAGACCACACUAUUCGAUUACCCCAUCCUUAGGAGUUUCUCAUCCAAUUGAUUUCUCUAUUUAUUUACCUGCUUCAUUCACUUGCUAUUGAAUUUUAGUUUUUUCUACUUUCAACCAUUCUACUCGAUCACACCCUGAUAUUAAUAGUGAGACUGUGUGAUAGAAUAAAUUGGUCCAUUUCUGCAUUUUCACUCUCUGUCAUCCUGUUGUACUCGAUCACAGGGUCCAUUCUGGCAGUCGACCCUGCUAUCGAGUAUAUCAGUCAUUUCUGUUAUUUUUUUUACUGUUUUCUGCAUCAACACUAGGACUGUUAGACAAACAACCUAAUACUGCUUGGCUUGACUUAGCAACUUCUGAUCAUAUCUCAUCUGUUUGCAUCACACCCAUUUGGAUUGACACCUAAAAUACUACAACGACAGGAUAGUGUUUUGGGAUUAAUUGAUCUUAAAAACUUACUAUCAAUUUGGCGCCGUUGCCAAUUGGGUGCUUGUUUGCUAUAUUUGAGAUUUCAGAAUUGUUAAGAUCAAGUUCAUUUUUGUUAUAAGAGAUACUAACAUUGUUUCUUUUCAGACUUUGUAUUUCAGGUACUUAGCAACCAACUUGAUUCGUCUGUUAUAGCCAGGUUGCUACCUGUUGCAUGCAUACACGGUCAUAAGGGAAUCAGAACCUCCUAUUCAACGAUAACAUCGACCGUAUUGCUCGCCUACUGAGAGAACAAUCAUCAACAGACACAAUGGCUGACUUCCUUCACAACCACAACUAGCGUCAUGGCAUUGUUCCACUUCCAGUAUAGAACAACAAUUUUGAGAUCAAAAGCAGUCUCAUUCCAAUGGUGCAGGGGAACAAGUUUCAUGGCUUGCCAAUGGAGGAUCCGCUCGAUCAUCUAGACGAGUUUGAAAGGCUCUGUAGCCUUUCUAAAAUCAAUGGAGUUAGUGAAGAUGGUUUCAAGCUUCGCUUGUUUCCAUUCUCACUUGGAGACAAAGUCCAUCUGUGGGAAAAUAUGCUACCCCAGGGAUCAAUCACGACCUGGGAUGACUGCAAAAAGGGCUUCUUGGCAAGACUCCGGAAUGAGAUAUCCGGAUUCACUCAGAAGCAAAAUAAAAGCUUCUGUGAAGCUUGGGAACGCUUUAAGGGUUAUCAAACCAAAUGCCCUCAUCACGGAUUUAAGCAAUCUUCUCUUCUCAGCGUACUCUAUAGAGGCGUCUAGCCUAAGAUAAGGAUGCUGCUUGACACCGCUUCAAAUGGGAAUUUCCUGAAGAAGGAUGUUGAAGAAGGGUAGGAGCUAGUUGAAAACUUUGCUCAGUCGGAUGGCAAUUAUAAUGAAGAUUAUGACAGAAGCAUCCACACCAGUUCUGACUCUGAUGACAAGCAUCGUAGAGAAAUGAAAGCUCUCAAUGACAAACUAGACAAAAUCCUCCAAGUGUAGCAGAAACAUGUUCACCUCAUCUCUAAAGAUGAACCAUUCCAGGUACAAGAGGGGGAGAAUGAUCAGUGUGCUGAUAGCUAUGUUCAGAAUCAAUGUGGCUACAACAAGGGGUACAACAAUUACAGACCCAACCCAAAUGUGUCAUACAGAAGCACCAAUAUCGCCAACCCUCAGGACCAAGUCUACCCUCAGCAGCAGCAGAACCAACCCAAUCCGUUUGUUCCUUACAACCAAAGUCAAGGGUUCGUUCUAAAGCAGCAGUUUCAAGGAGGAUAUCAACAACAGCAGUCACCACCUGAUUUCACACCACAUCAACAACAAGCACAUGCGCCUCAGAAUUCAGACAUAAUGACUAUGAUCCAGCAGCUCAUUCAAGGACAAGCCACAUGAGCAAAGGAAAUCGCUAAGAAGCUAGCUAAAUUAAACAACAAAGUCGACCGACAAGGCGUCAAACUUAAUAGCAAGUUCGAAUCACUAAGCACUAGGAUGAGAUAUAUGGAAGGCAUCCUCAUUACACCAUCUGUUAACAACAACCGAGGCUAGCUUCCAGGGAAAGCAAUCCAGAACCCUAAGGAGUACGCCACUGCUCACGCCAUCACUAUCUGCCAAGAUCGAGAGCUGCCAACUCGACAUGCCUCUACCUCUAUCACUAGGGACUGUGAAGUUCAAGAAGGGGAGGAUUUUGUUCAGAAUAAAAUUCCAACUGAAAUAGCAAUAGAGGAGCCCAUACUCGAUCGCAGUACUCGAUCCCAAGCUGAAGCAGUAUUUUCCUCCACCCUACAAGCCUGCACUACCAUUUCCAGGGAGAUUCAAGAAGAAACUGAUAAAGAAGUAUGAAGCUCUCUUGGAAAAAUAAUUGAAGGACCUUGAAAUCACAAUGCCUCUAGUAGACUGUCUUGCGCUAAUAUCGGACUCACACAAACGUGUGAAGGACAUGAUUACAGAGAGGAUCAAAGAAGUUCAAAGAACGGUGGCGUUAACUCACGAGUGUAGUGCAAUCAUCCAAUAGAACAUUGUUCAAGAAAAGUUGGAAGAUCCGGGAUCUUUUACUCUACCAUGCUCUAUUAGGCAACUGGCUUUCAGCAACUGUCUAUGUGAUCUAGGAGCUUCAGUCAGCCUAAUUCCACUUUCUCUGGUAAGGAAGCUGGGAUUUGUCAAAUAUAAGCCGUGCGACCUAUCUUUGAUCCUUGCUGAUAGGAUCCUAAGAAAACCCUAUGGCCUACUAGAAGAUAUACCUACCAAGAUUAAUGGAGUAGACGUGCCUAAACACUUUGUGGUGCUUGAGAUAGAUGAAGAACCUAAGGAUCCUCUGAUCCUAGGAAGACCUUUCUUGGCCUCAGUUGGAGUGGUGAUAGACGUCAAAGAUGGAAAGAUUGAUCUCAAUCUUGGGAAGGAUAUAAGGUUACUGUUUGACAUCAACAAAGCUCCAAGAAGAUCAACCAUAGAGGGACAGACCUCUGGGGUCCAAGGAGUGGUUACAGAAGAUGGAUUUGAGUCUGAAAGCGUUAAGGAACCAAGUUUAACCCCAACACGACCUUCAAGCUCAACCACUCAAUCUAGUACGCUCUGUGUAGUUGAUUGGCUAGAACUUAAAAGGAAGUCUGAUCUCCAAGAAGAAACCAUCCAGAAGCUAGCUUGCACUGUUGAGGAAUUUAGGGAUAAAGUGAGUCGGAUGCAAAGGGAAGCUAUUCAACCUCAACUCGGCAUUGAAGCUAUAUCAAAGAAGAAAUUUGUUUCAGAAUGGUCUGAAGAAGAACACUACCAACGAGAAAUAAAAGAAGCUCACAAGAAAAGGGCCAUUGAGUACUCAAUUACAAACUUGUCAAGAGAGCAUGCUAAGUCCGAUGUUGUAUCUGCUAAGGAAGAAGAGAAGAUUUCAAUUCUUCUCUAUCACCCUCCUUAAGCCUAAUGAAUGUGAGAAGUCAAGCUAGAGACUUAAGACAAGCUCACUUGGAAGGAAGUCCCAUGUCUAUCUUCGUAAAUAUCUUUAUUUUUCCUUGUUGUUUUUAAUGCAUUCUAGUAGUGUUUUCAGGAGAUAAGUAUGAAGAGCUGAAUGAAGUGGAUUGUGGCUCUGAUGGAACAGCUACACUCGACCACGGAGCAAUCAAAGACACUCGACCUUGUUUUGGCUUCUCCACGCCAGGAGAUCACUCGACCGCGGUGAUGGCCGCAGUAGAAGAGAGAGAUCGAGAAUCUACAAAGCGGUGCUGACCGCAGUAGAAGAAGAGAGCACUAUACUCGACCAUACUCUACAGGGAGGGAAUGAAGCUGUGAUCGAGUAUAGUUUAUGCAAAUCACUACUUCUCUAUAUCCAAAAUACACUCGACCGCGGUGCUGGCCGCCACGAAGGAGAUGAGGUCGAGUACCCACAGGGCGAAGUAGAGACACAACAAGGAGUUUCUUCAAUGGACUGGGAGCAAUCACAGGCAGCUAUUGACGACCAACUCCGCUCCUUCUUCAACUGAGGUACCACACCCAACCAUCAUUGUAUAUACCAUAUUCUGUUUUCGUUUCUUUUAGUGUCUGUUGAACUCUUCUUUAGACUUCUAAUACACAAGAGACUUGGUAGUUUAAAGUUUGGGGGAGGAUUCAAGAAGUAUUUAACAUGUUUGCUAGUGAGUCUUAUUUGCAUCAUUUGAGUCUUAACUUCAUCUAAGGCAUUGAAAAAACCAAAAAAAAAAUUGAAAAAAUUUCUGAAAAUGUAUUCCACAAAAAAAGAGUGUUCAUAUAGUUGCAUCACAUUUAGGAUUGAGUUUAGGAUGUUCCAUAUAGGAUUGUCGCAUAUGCAUUGGGGAUUAUGAUGAGAUAGCCUUGUAAGCAUUUUGGUUCAUCGUUGCUAGUUGUCUGAUGCGUAGUCAAUGAAAUUGAAGUAAAACUGCACCAAUGUCUUGAAUGCUCUGCUCGAUCACACUGUUAUUAUCUGAUACCAUUCUCUAUCAAUUUGAACCUGAAUCUGACUUGCAAUUAUCAUGUCUUAGCAUCGAAUUUGAACUCAUGGAUACCAUAGACAUACUUCAGUUUUCUUUAAAACUUUUCACAACCCUUACUAACCCAAGUAGCUGCUUCCAUCAUUGAAGUAGUUUCCCUUGCCCUUAGCCUAACCUUUCUUUUGAGCCCUGUAAUAUAUCGUGUGUGAUUGUGAGGCCUGUUUCAGGAUUGAGCUUGGAAGAAAGUGUUAGGUUUGAGCCGACAAGAGUAAUGUCUCAUGUAGUUCUAGUCCACGUUUUCUGGGCUAAAUAGGACUAGGUGGGUGUCUAUUCUUGGAGUGGGGAUCGAGUAUAUGAGAAAAAUAAGAGAGAAAGGAAAUGUUGAUUUCUUAGGAGAAGGAAGUUGAGAAACAAGUUAGUCUAGUAAUGGAUUUUGGGGAACUAAAAAAAAUAAAAAAAUUCUAUAACAACAGAAGAAAAAAUCUAGAAAAGUCUUGAUCACAAGAAGAUAACAAGAGCCAUAGUUGUCAAAGAAAACCAAAGUCCACUAGAUCCAUCAAGGUAAAAGAAACUUCUCCUUAUAAUAAGAGUCAAAGACAAGAAAGAAUGGUUUGAUCCAAGACAAGAAUGAAACAAAAAAUGCCUUGAGUGCAAAGGGUAGAACGAGGAUCAUAUUUUCGGCUUGAGGGUAGUACUAUCUGUUGGUGUAUACACUGAAUUUCUUAUUGGGUAGAUGGGAUACUAUUCUUGUAUGCAUAGGUUGGCUCUUACCUUUAGCAUUCUCCUAAAGCUCAUUCCAUUUCUUUUGACAGUCCCCUGUUACUAAACUUGAACCACCAAAAAGGGACCAUCUUUGUCUCGUGCCUUCACCUUAGCCAAAUGAGUUCAUUGAUGAUGCAUAACUUGAUUCACGUUCCUAAACUAAUGAAUGUUAAAGGGAUUGGUAGAUUUGAAAGCAUGUGUAGGUCGAUUGUAAGAGUGGGAUUGAACUAUAAUAAGGCAUGGCUAACGUUUUUGAGUAGAGUUCGAUCAUAUCGCAUCCUAGAACUGCCAAAUUGGACAUUGAUUUUAUCUGAUUUAUCUAAUGCUUUGGUUCUGAAUCCCCACCUUCAAACCUCUCAUUAAGCUUAUGACUACUUUUUUGCUUAAGGGCAAGCAAAGACUAAGUUUGGGGGAGUUGACAUGUAUCACCAUUUUGAGUCUAGUUUCAUCCAUCUUUCAUAGCAUUCAUCAUCAUUUUUGUACAUUUUGCGUCUUUAGUCGAGUGUAGGACUAGUCUUGCAUACAUUCUGCAUUCUGGAGUUGUUUCAGGUGCUUUGGAGCUAUUGGUGCUCAGAAAGAGGAAAAACAGAACAGAAAGUCACAUUUCCAACAACAUACUCGAUCACCAGUAGCAGAGAGGGAAGCAGUCAGCUCAGCAGUCCAUCCAGACACUUACACUCGAUCGCAGAGAAGAGGAGGCAGUCCCAACUACAAUUCUACUCGAUCGAAGAGGCGACCAGGCAGUCCACUUUGCCAGUUCACCAGUUCUACUUGAUCGCAGAGGAGAAGAACCAGUCCAUCCUGACAGCUGACACACAUACUCGAUCACAGAGGCCAAGAAGCAGCCCAGACAAUUCUGUCAACCAACCUACUCGACCACCACCUCGACCCUUUGAUCAAUCCGCACCCAACCAGACAACCUGAGCAACAGAGAGAGAAUAGAAGAGAAGGCCCAUUCGAAGCCCAUUCGAAUCCCAUCAGGAAGCCCACUUUGAGCCGAUACUCUUGAUCACAUCGUCCAUGGGUCGUUAAGUGGGCUCGAAGCCCGCUUUCUUAUCUUAGUAUAAAUAAGUCUCUAAGGGUUUUGCCCUAAGACAUGCACUUUGAGAGACACGAAUUUCGCACUAUUAUUCAGCAGCCGCUUUUCAUUCCUUCAACUUUGUAUUUCGAUUUUUCUUCUAAGUUAUUCAGAUUUUGCUUUCAUUUGCUUGUUCAUCUUUGUUUCAUUCUCUUUAAUAUUUUUAGUAUGCAAUCUUCAAUCGUUUCUAUGUUAUUGUCUUUAAGCAUGUUGUCUGAGUUGUGAUUAGGAUUUUUGAGGAUGGGAUAGAGUAGUUGUGGAACCCAUGGUCGAAUCUGUUGGUUAAGUGUAGAUUUAUUGAAUCCCUUCUGGAUUAGUUGUGUUUACUGCUUAUUCCUUUCUGAUCAACUGGAAUCCGAUCCCAGACGUUCCAGCGCUCAGAAGGCGUUUAAUGGAACGUUGGAUCUACUAAUUCCAGUGAUAGUCAUCUCUAUCCCAAGGGAUUGGCCGUUUAGAGCGGUUAUUGGCUUUAACAGUCGGUUCUUAUUGCAUGCUUAGUUAGGGAUCGCUAAUUGGAAUUAGGUCAGUGUAUAGCUAUGCUUGAGAAUUUCUAUCACGGGAGUGAAUUAAUCUGUUGUUGAACCUGUUGUCAAGUGAUAGCUUAAUUGAGAUUUGUUAACCAACUGAAUUGAUUAGGGAUACUACACUAUUCGAUUACCCCAUCCUUAGGAGUUUCUCAUCCAAUUGAUUUCUCUGUUUAUUUACCUGCUUCAUCCACUUGCUAUUGAAUUUUAGGAUUUUUCUGCUUUCAACCAUUCUACUCGAUCACACCCUUCUACUAACAGUGAGACUGUGUGAUAAAGUAAACUGGUCUAUUUCUACAUUUUCACUCUCUCUCAUCCUGUUGUACUCGAUCAUAGGGUCCCUUCUGGCAGUCGACCCUACGAUCGAGUAUCUCAGUCAUUUCUGUGAUUUUUUUUACUGUUUUCUGCAUCAACACUAGGACUGUUAGACAAACAACCCAAUACUGCUUGGCUUGACUUAGCAACUUCUGAUCAUAUCUCAUCUGUUUAAAUCACACCCAUUUGGAUUGACACUUAAAAUAUUACAACGACAAGAUAGUGUUUUAGGAUUAAUUGAUCUUAAAAACUUACUAUCACUAAGUUCCUUAGCGUCUCUAUGGGAGUCUGGCUGACUGGAAGGUAGUUGACAAGUAUGCUUAUGGGGUUUGGCAAUUGGAUUCCUAAAUACAUCUCGGUUGGAGGGUUUGAUGGUGGUAGGAAAGGCAUGGUGUUUUUUUCAAAUGAGGAGGUUUAAGACGGAUUCGUGUAUUCAACUUAGUGUGUUUGACAUGAGUUUUAAAGGGGAGAAUAACCAUCAAUGUAAGUGGUUGGGCGACAUUGAUGUAUAUUUAGUGCAUAAUAUUAGUAAGUUUUAAAUUAAACAAAAUACUGUGUACAUCUCAUAAAUGCGCCGUGUACAUCUAUGAAGUACUCAUUACGUUUUCUGACACAAGGUUGAGUUGAUGUUUGUUUGUAUAUAAGGGGAACAAUAUUGCUUCUUGUAUAUUGCUAUAUUAGGGGGAACGCUAUUACUAAAGCACAUUUUAAAUAAACAAAACAAACUUAUUUUAUCUGCCAAAUGAAUUGAGUACGUUGCUUGGGAACCGUGUACGUCUAAUACAGAUAUUAAUGAGAGUUGAUAGAGGUCACUUCUAUGGUGUGUUUGACAGGAUGUAAUUAAUCAAGGAGCAAAAUUUUCUAGAUAUGGGUUAUACUACGUCAAAUCAAUCUUUUUACGUCUUCAUUUACUAAUUAUCUCGUCACUCGCUUGGUUAUCUUUCCAGUUUGAAAUAAACGAUACAAAGUGUACAAUAGCUUAUAGCAUCUACGUAGAUAUUUUGUUAUUUAAUUAUUCAUAUGGGUUGUUUCUUCUUACAGUACUUUGAUUUAGUAAGUUUGGAAAUUCUUAGAAAGUGUUAAUUAUUAAAAACAAACUUCCAUUAUUGAUAAUCAAAGUACAAAGCUCACAUAUUAUUGCAUGAAACACUUAUAAAUAUGAUAGGAUCGUUACGAAUGUCAAAACUACAGAAUCUGGCUAAUCUUUUUGGCACACCACCAGAUGUUACAUUCGUUGCAAAGAUUAUUAAAGAGUCCCGACACACAUCAUCGCGCAUUCAGGCGUUCAAAUGUCACCACAUUCAGGGUACGAAAAGCUUUUAGCGUAGGUGUUUUUUAAAGUAUUAACAUAUUUCUUUAUUUCUUCUAAAGCAUAAUGGUUGCUUCUGAAGAGCCGAAGGUAAAUACCACCCAUGUGAGCACUACCGUCAAAUAUGUAAAAAAUUGCGCAGGCAAGGGUUGCAGCGUCGUGCCCUUUGGGCAAUUCUCUCUAAAUGUACGAUAGCUCCCUUAAUGUCAGACUCAUGGGUAACAAGACGCAGUCCUUCACGGUAAAUAGCAGUCGGGUUACCAGCCUCUACGCACCGUUCGAAGAAGGAUCUAUAUCGACAUUUAGAGUUGAUGUCAUUUGUAUCAUAGCCAACCGCGUGGAAGUCAUCGGGAUCGUCGCACAUGCUGAAAAUAUUUGCAUCUUUCAGGACAUCCGAUCGGUAGACUAUAUUUCUUCCAUGAGGCUCUUAUUUCAACAUAGGUCCGAGGUACCACCAACAUUUGUGAGCCAUUUGCUUGGCUAUCUUCGCUAGCAAAUCAUCAAGUAUAUUUGGGUUUGCCAUAUUUUGGAAUAAGGUGUUUCAAAACAAUAAAAUUCCAACUCUUAAAUAAACAUCAUUGAAGAUAUGGUUGGGUAAGUUAUGGUUGUAUUUAUUGCAAAGGACGUAAGUGAUGAUGCAGAUUCAGAUUGUCAAAUCAACGUAAUAGUUUUUCGUAUAUGAUUUGUUUUUGUUCUUAUGAGCAACUUCUAAUAAAAAAUAUGCCUAAAAAUAGCAGUGUACGUAGAUGUGUACAUUAAAGUGUAUCUGUGGCAAGUGUACGUACAUAUGUUAAUAUCCACAUUUUUGAUGCAAACCAAAGACUUUAUCUAUUUUAUUUGGUAGAUGCACGUGUACGUAGAUUUUAUCAGUGGCAAGUGUACGUCCAUAUGUUAAUAUCCACAUUUCUGAUGCAAACCAAAGACGUUAUCGUUUUAUUUGGUAGAUGCACAUGUACGUCUAGCUUUUAAUCUCAACAAUUUACAAUUAUUAUGGAAACUAUGACGAUUAUGACGUACUUAACAAGAUUAUCAUAAAAACCAUAACAUAUCGUAUGACUGAAAGACCAAAUAUCAUUUGCCUAUUAGCGGAAUAACUAAUCCGGAGAAACAUAAACACACCAUGCAACCAGAAAAUGAAACGAAAAUAAAUAACAUAGUAGAAGCAUUAAUAUAAUUUGAAACAUCACUUAGCGGAUAACAUACACUAACACAUGAAGUAGAAUGGAAUAACUAUAGCAUUUGACUAACAUGCCUAGCACACGACCAGAUGUAACAGCGGUUGCAAACGGUUUAGAAAGCUCAAGAUACCAUGUAACAAUAGAAGAGGCAUGGUAGCAUACUAAUUCCAUGGCUCGUAGGAUACCAGAAAGUAGGACCAUAUGUAUUGCUGUAUGGAGGGUGAAACUUCUUUAUUUCCUCGAUGAACUCAUCACCCAAAACUCGAGUGGCAACCUAGUCCAAUGGAUAAUGGUUGCGGGUGAAGAGCUGUAGAAACAAGUCGCCCGUAUAAUCAUAAUCAGCACAUAUGAUGGCGCAUGCAAGUGUUGCAUUUGCUCGUUGUGGAGCAUGACGCUGUAAGAGCUUGAUGGCUCCAUUGAUGUUUCAUUCAUGCGUUAGAACACGAAUACCUUCGUAAUACACGGCCGUGAGAUUGUUAGGUGCAAAACCCCUUAAGAAAAAUGGUCGAUGUCGGCCUUCAACAGCGACUCCGGAGGAAUUGUGGCCCCCUCCAGCUUGGAAGUCAUCGGGAUCGCUACACAAGGUGAGAAUAAUGGCAUCUUUGAGGACAUCCGGACGGUAGACAAUGUCUCUUCCGCGAGUGUCUGAUCGUAUUAGUGAACCAAGGUCUGACCAGCAUUUGUCAGACAUGUUCUUAGCUAUAUGCGAGAGUAAAUCAUUGAAAAGAGUCGGGUUAACCAUAUUUGAAAUGAGAUACUCCGAGAUCGUCAUUAAGUUUUUCACUUUAAUAACCACUACUAUGGAUUUAGUUGGGGCAAUUACGGUUGAAUUAAAUGUCAUAUAUGUGUUGGUCAGCGUUGGAUGUCAAAUCAAUUUAUCACCUUAGUUAUGUUAGAAAGUAAAUUUAACGUGUAUGAGAAAUAUAGAUAUAUGUGGGAGACAUAUGUUUUAACGUGUACGUACACAAUACAUAUUGUUUGAGAAGUGUACGAUGUGUACAAGAAGAGAGUGAUAACAGAAACUAAAUUAAGUUCUUACAAGCUCCAAACUUAAAUGUAGUUGCAAUCUAAGAUAGGUUUGUUCAAAAUAAUAAGUGUAAGGUACAUAUUAUUAUAGACAGGCGAUUAUAAUAAAUGCACAGUACCCUCCUCGCGCUUUCCGUGCUCGUAGAUAUCCACCGAGUAUUUCUAACGGUAGAAGACCAUGUCUGUUUCCCGAAUGUUGAACAGGUCUGAAAAAGGGUUUCCAAACACGAGCAACUCCAAGAACUUCAUCGUGUAUGACCCGCAAUCUCCAGUAUUUGGGGUUUGAGCAACGGUGAAACAACGUUCAUACUCAAAAAGUUCAACUGAGUACGCAGAAGUCAAUACAUCCUGGCACACCGCUCUAACUAAGAACAACAUCAUUUUACAAAUAUGAGUCAUUCUCGACUUCACAACCGACUCACGCGUGUGCGAUAUUAAAGCGUCAUACACAGUUAUUCGCCGUUCUUUGAGGUUGAUUCCCAAAGCAACCCAAUGUUCAUGAUUCCAGUUCAUCGGAGCAUAUACGACAUCGACAUCCUUUAGCCACUUAAUAGGGGGUUCACGGUUUAUGUGUACUCCAUUAGCAAUGUCGGACAGAAAUUUGCCCUAUUUGAAUCCGUUCUUAUUAAUACACUUCCUGAAGUCGACAACCCGCUUGGUAAGUUCAUGGAGCAGGAAGAAGUCCAAUACAAUACAUAUGUUUGCUAUUAGUUGUUCACCGUUCUUGUGCCACAUCAACAUUGCCAUCAUUUUUAAAUGUUGAAAUGAUCAAAUCAUUAUAAUCAGUGUACGUACACUUUCAUCAUAUUUUACCAUGUUUGUAGAUUUUAUAUACAUGGUGGCAAGUAGUGUACGUAUAUUAAUGCAACAUACUGAACUUCCGACCCAUACACUAUGUGUUAUAAGCUUGGCAAAAAAAUCGUUGUCCACUUUGCGAAACCGAAAAGUGUGUGAAUCCUGUAAAUCAAGUAAAAUAUUUGAUAACAAGCUUAAGUAAGUAAAAAGAUGAUGGAAUAAUUAGUAAUCCAAUAUAAUAGAAUAUACUUACAAAUUGUCUCCUUUAAGGAUAUUGGUUAAUUGCUCUACUUUCGAAGGGUCAACCAUGUAUAGGGGGUUGUAUGAGACAUUUCCAGCCUCUGACUGUUUUGAGUUGGUACAUCCUCCACCAAGACUGUUGUUCCCUUAAAACCUCCAGGAAGGGCAUCAUCAAGUUCAUAGACUAGUUGUUUCUUCACUUUUUUUGGGACCUUACGGGUUGCAUUUUUUUCUUCUUUUGCUUCAACUGCAACAUCAUUGUCUGAUUCAUCUUGUAAACAAAUAUGAUUGUCAACAACUGUUUUAUUCGUUUUUCUAUAAUACGUCCAUGGUAAAAAUAGAUACAUACAUUAUUUUUAGGAAUAGGGACGGUUUUAUCUGCUUCAUCUGACCUUGGGUUUGGAUGAAGGAAUUUGUACCAUGUUUAUAACGAUUUAUAAAACUAAUCACAAAUUCAAUUGCCAAGAACUGUGUAAACAAAGAAUUAAAUCUAGAUCAAAGGGUUUGAAUAUACCUUGAUAUUCUGCAGCGGAAAGAUGAACCAUAUUGUUUCAAGGUUGUUUUAGCACCCCAAGUGUUGUGCCUCUACCGGUAUCCACACGCACACAAACUGGAUCAGAUUUAGAAUGCUAGUUCUUUUGAGGUCUUAUCUCAAAACUCAGACAAACUAUUUGUCUCUAUAUUUUUAGGGUUUUGUGAUCAAAAGUGUAUCUCACAAAAGUUGCUAAUAUAUCAUAUAUAUAGCCAAACGUUUAACCCUAACCAAUUAUGGUUAAUAAUGGGCCAAAGCCCAAUAACUCUUUUUAUUGAUCUAUUUUGCUUAGGUGUGUGACCCUGUAGGUUUGUAUAAUAUUAGUAAUAAGUUAUAACUCAUAGAUUAUAAGCGGUCUCUAGCAAAACAUUAUAACCACCUAAUAUUAUACAAAUAUCAAACCUCGACAUUACAACUUUAACUAGAGUAAAGUACAACUGAUUUCAGGACAUUCCCAACAAUCUUCCACGUGUACUGGAAUCAUCUAUUCCCAUAAUCCAUUUGUCUCUAUAUCUCGAUCUCAGCAUAAGGCAAGAAAUUGUCAUCCUUAUUCAGCUAGACCAUGUUUAUCGAACUCCGAUUUAUACUGAUAAAACAAACGACUGACAUUCACCUCGUUUGAGCGCGGCCACGCAUUUCUCAGUAUCAAAUCUUCGAUAGGCCCAAAGAUAUUUAUCUCCCGUUAUAUGGGAGGGACAAAUCCCAUCUUGUUCCAUCCAUGUUCCUUAAACAAUUCAUAACGUGCCCAAUCACUGUCUUUAUAAUCACCUUUUACGGCUAACGUUUGACAGAAUCAAAGCGAACUAAUCCAUGAAUAAGAAAUCAUGACGAACUCAGGUCAAAGGACUAUACUCUAUAGUUGUGAUGAGAAACUCUUAUGACACUCAUAUAACAAUCUUGUAGAGUUCUCAUAACGGGUCAGUCCAAUACUGUGUUCUCUAACACAUAUCUAUGUGAUUGACUUAAUACCACAUAUUAAUGACUCCAUGAAACUUAGUCAUCAGUCACUUCACAUACUAGUCAUUCUUAGUUAUUAAUGUCCCAUUUUAAUAACCUUGAUUAGGGACUUUAAUAAUCUAUGUCAUUUUCCACUUACAGGGUUUCAUGAUCAAGUCACGUACUUGAUGACCUAUAAGAAUGAUAUAAAUUAUUUGGGACUAUUAUUUAAUUAUCAAAUAAAUAAAUAAUACUGAAACAAAUUUCAUUAAUUUGAAAAUAAAUCCAAAUGUAUUUUAACAUGAACAUCAUAUCAUAAAAGAAAAACACCUCCCACUAGAAAUAAGAUCACAUCUUUAUAAAUCUAAUGCCAAUCGCAGCAGUAUGACUCUCAUGCUUUGGCUGCGCAAGAGGUUUGGUAAAAGGAUCAGCAACAUUUGCAUCCGUUGAAACUCUGCUAAUCUUCACAUCACCUCUAUCAAUAAUCUCACGAAUGAGGUGAUAUCGCCUUUGUAUGUGUUUGGAUUUCUGGUGUGAUCUAGGUUCUUUUGCUUGCGCGAUGGCACCAUUGUCAUCACAGUAAAGAUCAAUGGGACCAGAAAUACUAGGAACCACACCAAGUUCAGUAAUGAACUUCCUAAUCCAAACAGCCUCCUUAGCCGCUUCAGAAGCAGCUAUAUACUUAGCUUCAGUUGUAAAGUCUGCCACAGUGCUCUCUUUGGAACUCUUCCAACUCACUGUUCCUCCGUUGAGACAAAAGACAAAUCCUGAUUGUGAUCGGAAAUCAUCUUUGUCUGUUUGAAAGUUGGCAUCAGUAUAACCACUCACAACAAGUUCCUCACUUCCUCCAUAGACCAAAAACUUAUCCUUAGUUCUUCUCAAGUACUUAAGGAUGUUCUUGACUACUAUCCAGUGACUUUCACCUGGAUCAGAUUGGUAUCUGCUCGUCAUGCUCAAAGCACAUGCAACAUCUGGGCGAGUGCAGAGCAUAACAUACAUGAUAGAUCCUAUAGCAGAAGCAUAUGGAAUCUUACUCAUCCGCUCUCGCUCAUCAUGCGUCGAAGGACACUGAGUCUUGCUAAGAGUUAUGCCAUGAGACAUUGGUAUAAAGCCUUUCUUAGAAUCAUGCAUAUUGAACCUGUGCAAGACCUUAUCUAUAUAAGUAUCCUGACUUAGUCCAAUUAUUUUGUUUAAUCUAUCUCUAUAGAUUCUUAUUCCAAGAAUAUAGGCAGCUUCACCCAUGUCUUUCAUCGAGAAACAAAUUCCAAGCCAAGUCUUAACAGACUGAAGCAAAGGAAUGUCAUUUUCAAGGAGCAGUAUGUCAUCUAAAUACAAUACCAGAAAUGCGACUGCGCUCCCACUAGUCUUCUUGUAAACACAAGGUUCUUCUUCGUUUCUAAUGAAAUCAAACUCUUUGAUUGCCUCAUUAAAACAAAGAUUCCAACUCCGAGAUGCUUGCUUCAAUCCAUAAAUGGAACGAUGAAGCUUGCAUACCUUCCUAGCAGCCUCAAGAACAGUGAAACCUUCAGGCUGUGUCAUGUACACAUCCCCUUCGAGAUUUCCAUUAAGGAAAGCUGUUUUCACAUCCAUUUGCCAAAUCUCAUAAUCAUAAUGAGCAGCAGUUGCUAGGAGAAUCCGAAUGGACUUAAGCAUUGCGACUGUAGAAUAGGUUUCAUCAUAGUCAAUACCAUGAACUUGAUUGUAACCUUUCGCAACCAGUCUAGCUUUGUAUAUCUGUAUAUUACCAUCCUUGUCAAUUUUCUUCUUGAAUAUCCAUUUACACUCUAUGGCUUUUACACCAUCAGGUAAAUCAACCAAAGUCCAUACUUUGUUUUGUGACAUGGAUUCCAUUUCGGAUUUCGCGGCCUCUAACCACUUAUCGGAAUCAGGGCCCAUCAACGCUUCUUCGUAUGACGUAGGUUCAUCACUCUCUAUCAUAAAUAGAGCAUGAUCGUCCAUCACCCAAUCUCCGAAUCUAUCGGGUUCGUGACGGCUCCUUUCGGACCUACGUACCUCAGGUUCCACAUGUAUAGGUUCUACGACUCUUCGUAGAUCCAAUCUAUGUUCUUCCUGAGAAGUUGGAACAUCACCAUGUGGUUCUCGAACUUCUUCGAGUAAUAAUUUACUCCCACUAGUUCCUUUUGAAAGAAACUCUCUUUCCAAAAAGGCACCAUUUCGGUCAACAAACACUUUGUUGUCAGUAGGGUGGUAAAAGUAAUAACCUUUGGUCUCUUUCGGAUAACCUACGAAGUAGCACUUAUCAGAUUUGGGUCUAAGCUUAUCAGUAAUCAAUCGUUUGACAUAAGCUUCACAACCCCAAAUUUUUAGAAAAGACAAAUUAGGAACCUUUCCUGUCCAUAUCUCAUAUGGUGUCUUCUCAACUGAUUUUGAUGGACAUCUGUUGAGCAUAAACGCAGACGUUUCUAGAGCAUAUCCCCAAAAGGAUGGUGGAAGAUCUGUGUGACUCAUCAUUGAUCGAACCAUAUCCAAUAAAGUUCGAUCCUCCUUUCAGAUACACCAUUCCACUGUGGUGUUCCCGGAGGAGUGAGCUGUGAAACAAUUCCACACUCUCUGAGAUGAUCACUAAAAACUUGGCUCAAAUAUUCUCCUCCACGAUCUGAUCGCAGAGCUUUGAUCGAUUUGCCAAGUUGAUUUUGUACUUCAUUCUGGAACUCCUUGAACUUUUCAAAGGAUUCCGAUUUAUGUUUUAUUAGAUAAUUAUAACCAUAUCUACUGAAGUCAUCAGUAAAUGUAAUGAAGUACUGAUAGUUUCCUCUAGCACUUGUACUCAUUGGCCCACAUACAUCUGUAUGUAUUACGCCCAAUAAGUCACUAGCCUUCUCACUGUGUCCAGUAAACGGGGCUUUAGUCAUUUUUCCCAACAAACAAGAUUCACAUGUCUCAUAAGAUUCAUAAUCAAAUGAGUUCAAAAGUCCAUCACUAUGAAGCUUUUGAAUGCGUUUCUCGUUUAUAUGGCCCAAACGACAAUGCCAGAGAAAAGUCGGAUUCAAGUCAUUAGACUUAAAUCUCUUGGUACGAAUGUUAUAGAUUGACAUGCUUUGGUUUAGAACAUAGAGCCCAUUCUCUAAUGGAGCGCUACCAUAAAACAUAUCAUCUCGAUCAAAUGAACAACAUUUGUUCUUGAUCGAAAAGUGAAAACCUUCCAUGUCCAAACAUGAAACAGAGAUGAUAUUCUUAUUUAUAGCAGGAACAUAGUAGCAGUUCUUAAGCUCCAAAACCAUGCCUGAAGGUAAAGACAACGAAUAUGUUCCCACGGCCAAUGCAGAGACUUUUGCUCCAUUAGCCACACGUAGGUCCACUUGUCCUUCCUCCAAAGUUCUACUGUUGUUUAGGCCAUGCACAUUUACACAAAUGUGAGCACCACAACCGGUAUCCAAUACCCAAGGAGUAGAACCAGAUGUAGUAACAUUUACUUCUAUAACAUAGAUACCCGAAGAAGAAAUCUUGAAUGUUUUCUUCUUCUCCAGAUCUUCCAAGUAUGCAGGAGGGUUUGAUUCAUUCAAUUUGUCCUUCUUAAGGACAUCUCGAACUGAAUAGGAACUUUGAGGGGUUGACAUAACUGUCGAAAAAGAAAAGCAGAUAUUAAUAUGAUGUUCAUAAAUUUUAGAAUUCUCAACAAUUAAGAAAACUAACACUAUACUCCAAACAAAUUUCCUCUAAGAGUAUAAUGAUCCAAAAUCCAUAUUUUACUAGAAUCCAAGUGAGCUUUGGCUCCACCCCUGAAUAUCUAGUUAUUUAGGUAAGCAACACCUUGCUAAUUAUAUCCAAUAUAAUUCUUGGUUGUGGAUGACAUCUAAUGUCUUAUCCAACUCUAUGUCUCUAAGCCCAAAACCGUUUUGAUAACUUAGUCAAGUAAACCAAUUUUAUUUCAUAUGGUAACCGUUACCAUCUGUUUCACUCUUAAGCAAUUACAGACCGCUGCUUUGGCAGACCCGCCAUACAACAACUCAAGUUUUAACAGUUAAUAAAAUUGGAGAGACAUCAACUUACUUGAUAUUAGAUGAGGAAUUAAUUUUAUAACUUAAUUUUAUAUUUAAAUUUAUAUCCAAUAUAAAUAAAAUAUAAGUAAUACAUAUCCAAUAUAUAUUUAAUUGAAUUAUAAACAAUUUAGAUAAUCUUAAUCAAAUUAAAAUUAUUAAUUAUCGAGAAAGUUAAUCUUAUUAAAUUUUAAUAGAUCUAAUCAGAUUAAAACAUAAUAUAAUCGAAUUUAUCCUAAUCAAAUUAGAAUCUAAAGAAUUAUCACGAAUAUAUGUUCAAAUCAAAAUCCAUACAUAAUUAUUAGGAAAAUUGACUUUCUCCUUCUCAAGAAGAUAAAUCACAAACCAUAAUAUAUUCGAUUAUCUUUUUGGUAAGAGAAAUAUAUUGUAUGAGGAACAAUUCCAAAUUAAACAAAGAUUCUCAUUAUUAUCCAUAACGUGAUAUACACAUAUUAUAUAAAAUAUUUAAAUCUAAUUAAAUAUCCCAAACAUGUUCUACUUCUCAUAAUCCAAUUAUGACACAACCAAACACGAUCAUUCUAUUAUAAUACCAUUUUCCAUGUGUAUGUAUUAUUCUAAGCAAACAUAUCUUAAAUCAGUUGAAUGCAUAGAAACGUUUUCAUACGAAUAAAUUAAGAAACUAUACAUCAAUUCACGAUAAUGACAUUCACGAGAAGGUGUUUUAACAAAACGAAAUUCAUCAAUUUCAUUCAUGUUUAAUUAGAUCAAUUAUUUAAUUUUAUCGUACUCUUAUUAACCAUUAACAACUACGAACGUAAACACAUUCUCUUAUUAUAAUUCACACUUCAUAAACGUAUAUCUCAUAUACGAAACAUGUUCUAUUAGGCGAAUUCGUUUCUACCAUGUUUAACAAAUUAAAUUUCACAAAUUUCAUCAUGAUAAACAAAUAACAAUUACUUAUCCAUAUCAUAAUAUAGAUUAAACUAGAUUCAAAUUCAGUAUUAAAAACCUCGCUCUGAUACCACUGAAGGAAUUUGUACCAUGUUUGUAACGAUUUAUAAAACUAAUCACAAAUUCAAUUGCCAGGAACUGUGUAAACAAAGAAUUAAAUCUAGAUCAAAGGGUUUGAAUAUACCUGGAUAUUCUGCAGCGGAAAGAUGAACCAUAUUGUUUCAAGGUUGUUUUAGCACCCCAAGUGUUGUGCCUCUACCGGUUCCACACGCACACAAACUUGAUCAGAUCUGGAAUGCUAGUUCCUUUGAGAUCUAAUCUCAAAACUUAGACAAACUAUUUGUCUCUCUACUUUUAGGGUUUUGUGAUCAAAAGUGUAUCUCACAAAAGUUGCUAAUAUAUCAUAUAUAUAGCCAAACGUUUAACCCUAACCAAUUAGGGUUAAUAAUGGGCCAAAGCCCAAUAACUCUUUUUUUAUUGAUCCAGUUUGCUUAGGUGUGUGACCCUGUAGGUUUGUAUAAUAUUAGUAAUGAGUUAUAACUCAUAGAUUAUAAGCGGUCUCUAGCAAAACAUUAUAACCACCUAAUAUUAUACAAAUAUCAAACCUCGACAUUACAACUUUAACUAGAGUAAAGUACAACUGAUUUCAGGACAUUCCCAACAUUGGAUCCUCAUUUCCUCUAGACCCGUCGACAAUACCCGUCUCUUCCAACACUCCCUGUAGAAGUUAACGUACACAAGUCUCUAUAAUGUACACAUAUAAUCCUAUGUAUGCUAAUAAGUGCGUAGGAAUUGAAACACACAAAUUGUUACCUCGAUAACAUUAGUUGCAUCCAAAUCAACGGAGCCUUUGGUUUCCAACUCGCGUGUCACCUCCAUAAUAUAAAUUUUAUAAAUUUGAACAAUUCAUAGUGAAUUUUAUUUUCAUAUAUAGUUAACUUACAUUGUUAACUACUUCAAAUGGUGAAGGGGGAUCACUGUGGGUCUCCUCAGGUACUUCCACUUUCAUCCCUGGUACUAAUUUGGAUUCAGCUGCCGCCUCAACUUGUUGAAUUUAACAUCGGAUAGCUGCAUUUUUAGUUAUGUAUGAAAUAAUCUAUGUACACAGACCAUAGCGAAAACAAAAUGUAUGUACACUUGUGGCGGGUUUGUCGUUAAGUUCAGACUCACGAGAUGUAUCUCCAUCAGAAGGCUCACCAAUUUUUUCUUCCUCGCAAACAUUAGCUUCAGUCGCAGCACUGGCAUCACUUUCUUCUCCCUGAAACAAAUACAGUGUAAUCCAGUGUCAACAAUCUCUGCUUCAGUGGACGAAGAAUCCAGUCCAUCUUUUGCAGUAAAAUCACUUUCAUUAUUGGCUUCAUCCUGUAAGCAGACAGUACAGUUAUACGUACAUAUGGAUUUGAAAAUAUUUAGGAAUGUACGUACAUGCCAUACCUGGUCAUCAAUGAAUCCUUGCAUAUCUUCCUUAUUGGAAUCAGAGAGCUCAAUAGUGUCGACAGUAAAAGAAACCCUCUUCUUCGGCCUUGAAGAAUUUCUUCUUCCGCCGACAACAAUGGUAGGUAGUCCAGGGACAUCCAAAUCUUCCUCUUUGGAAUUACCACCAACAGAAAGAGCAGGAGUGUCCACAUCAUGAGAAACACGAUUCAGCCUUGAAGACUUUCUCGUUCUAGUGCUUCCUUUUGUAGACAUCCUUCUCGAUGCCUUCUUCGCACUCACCAGUGCCUUAUCCAUAGAUGUAGGUGUUUCCCGUGAAUCAUGGGAAGGUAUGGUUUGUUCUGGCUUUUUGCCUAUUGGAUCAAGGGCAGCACGUAUCUCCUGAUGGACAAAGUGUUUCAUAUCUUCUUGCAUUUGAUUCAUUUGGGCUUCCUGCUUCUUGAAACACCUCCUCAUUUCAACUAAACACCUCUCAAGCACCGGCUCUCCACGACAAUCCUCAUCAUUUUCUUCAUUAUCACAUUCAACAACAGAUUUCUAUUUUUUCAUAGCAGGUGCUUUCGGGCUCGGGCCCGAUGCAUUUCUUUUCCUCUUGACACCUACAAUAUACCAGUUGCUGCUAUUUAUUGGUUUUCUUCUUGGUGCAAUAACCAGAAAAUAUGAAAACAACAUUUAUACUUACCUAUCUCUUCUUGUUGUUGUGGGCGCACCUGCUUUGUUACUCCAGUAUAACCUCGAUCCCAUUCAUCCUCCUGCCACUCGUGCCCAUCUAUCAACAGUCGCUCAAUGUAAUCAACUUUUGGAUCAUCAACUUCAUCAUCAGCCUACACAUUGUCCGAUGGUUUCAGAAUAUAGUUGACCUCAACCUACACAAAUAAGUUUGUUAACCAUAGAGAAUGUACACUUACUUUUUAUGUACGUACAUAAACAAUUGAACACACCUCAUCAGCAGCCUCACACUCCAAUAUGCUAGAUGUCCGGAUUGCCUGCAGUGAGGAAAGCCGAUGGAUAGACCUCUGAGUAAAUGUCCUGUUAGCUUGAUCAUCAUGUACUAGCUUAGCAAUGGAUGAGAGUGUUUCAAAAGCAAAUAGUUGGAGUUCUAAUGGGAAGCCAUAAAGUGCAUAAGACCCAUCCAGUAAACACCUUAUCAGUAGUUCAACAUCAGAAGGUGUUUGUAAUUUUGCUAUCCUGCCCAAAGUACGGGUAAAAGACACCCUUCCCCAUGGGUAUUUGAAGAACAAUUCCACGUUCUUCGUCUUUUCAACAGUCUUCAAAAUCGGACUGUUGGGGUUAUUGUGGGACGCUAUCACACCAUCUACCAGAAUUGUAAGAGAGAGAACCAGUUGCUUCCACCCUUCCAUGCUUUCCUCCUCCUUCACCCAGCUCACCAAUUCAGCAAUAGUUGGAUUCGGUUCCUUCCCAAACCUCGGCCUAAACAGAGUCUUCCAAACACUUUUACACCCAAGUUUCACCUUUAUAACAGCCUCCACGGCUUUCUUCUUGGGAUACUUCCCACAUUCCAGUCCAGUUAUGAUACAAAAUUCUAUUAAUCCAAAUCUGAUAGGAUGACCGCCGAAUACCAUCCACAUCUCAUUCACCUUCUUUGUCACUAACUGGCGGCAUAUUAGUCCAAGAACAAGCUUACCAGAGAAGGAAGACUUGUUUGCAUGUAUUUUAGAAAGAUCCCCAAAUGGAGAAUCGAGAAGAAACUGCAUCUCUUGUUUUCCCUUGAAUACACUUGCUAUGUUAGAAAUGUACUCCGGUUUAGAGUACGCGUUCAUCUUCGUCUUGACAGGGUACCGGUCUAGAGCAAAGAGUCUUUGUGGUAACUCUUCAACCAUAAGAUCUUCAGUCGGAGCAACACUUGUACUGCCUGCAAUUAAAAGUGAUAUACAAUUAGGCAAUACGAAUUCCUGUACGUACACAGGAAUUAUCCAGAUUAUAACUCAAAAUCUGAUUUUUGGCGGAAACAGAAAUUUCCAAUUCAACUUCUCAAAAUUCCAUCCUAAAGAUAUGCUAAAUUCCGACUAGUUCUAACCCUUUAAUCAAACAAGCUUUACGAUUCCGAUACACCCAAAGACAACAGACGAUAAAUUAGAGAUACUAACCCAGCUCCUCUGUUGCCUUUGUCGGAGAGAGUUUUCUCCUCGGGGAAACUCUGAGUACCCGCUUCUCCUUCUCUGGACCAGUAUCCUGGGUAUGUUGCUUUGUCGGGACUUCGUCGUUUGCUUUAUUCCCAGCCAUAGCAAAAGUUGCUAUCUCGCCAGAGGUUCCUCACUUCGCUCAAAAAACUGCAACUUUCUCUUCGCCGGAUUUUGGAGUUCAGUGGCUCAAUUCAACUACCCAACAAUUCGAAGUGAUGUCGAAAUAUGAAGGAGUGGAUAAUGAAUUUUGAACUUCUUUCUAUUUCUCUCUCAAAUCUCUCCGCCCCUUUCUCUUUCUCAUUUUCUUCUUCUUCGGUUUCUUCGUUUCAUUUUUUUUUUUUCAAAAACUGAACCGUAGAAACUAAACCGAAACCAACUCAUGUGCGGUUUGGUUGCUUCCAUUAAGGAUAUUUUGGUCCGAAAAUGAUUGACAAGACAAACGGUAAAAAUCAUAUCUCACUUUGACAAAUCAUGGGAGUAAUUCUUUUUUCGUCCACUAAUGUGAAAAAUUCUUUUUAAUAUAUUGCAAAUUUUAUUUUUUAUUUUCUCAUGUUAAUAUAUGAAGACAAUAGCCAUCUCGCGUUUUCACGCCUCCCUCAAGCUCAGACGCGAACAACGAGAGAUUGUGCUUCCUGAAUUCUCAUAAUUGAGAUACCAUAACUCAAACGGUGUGUGACUAAUUUGUCAGAUCGUCAAUGUUUUAAGGCCCCACGUUCGAAUUCUGAUGAUUAGAUCACCCAGAAAAGUGGAUCUCCAUGGAUAAUGCUUUUCCUUGACGACGGUUGUGUGAUGUACAACCCGAAAGAAGGCAAAAUUGAAAGGAGUCUGAUAGAAUCCUCAGGGAUUUGGUUCCUGACAAACUCAGAUAAAUGGUGUCUAAUGUUAUAUUCUGGAUGCAAUUUAGCUAUUAUAGAUGUGUUUAGCCAGGAUAGGAGGAUCAAUUUUCUGCCUCUAGAGUCGCUCCAAUCAGAUACAUAUACUCUCAAGCGUGUGGUAGAUAAGGAAUACUGUUUUGAAUUACCUAGUGGCGAUUAUUGCAACGAGAACGCCGAUGAUCUGAGAGGCCGUUUGUGGGUAGACAAGAAGACGGGAGAGUUCGUUGUAGUGUGGUUCUUUAACCCUUAUACCUAUUUAUUCUAUUGCAAGAAGGGGGAUACUCAUAACACUGUCAUUCCCUUGUCUGACCAGGUCCCCAAGGUUGUAAAUGGCUUAACUGAUCUAGUACUCUGGGGUUACCGUCUUUACAUCGCAACCAAACGUCGUUUCGCUCGAGUUAUUGAUUUGUCUGGAUAUCAAAGGUUUCGAGGAUGUCACCGGGAGUAACCCAAAGCAAAUGUUUUCCCCUCUCGGAGAACAUAAUUCUUUUAGCAUUGCGGAUAUAAUAUCAGGAGAGGUUUUGUUGGUUGAGGGCAUAACCUUUGAAAACUAGAGGAUCUUUUGUCUCUUCAAAGGAUCCUAACAACUUAGACGACCCACAUGUCUACCACCACCCCCCCCCAAGCUUCUUGAGGUAGAUUCUCUUGGUGAUGAAGCCCUUCUUCUUGACUUGGGUAUUACCAUGCCUGCUAACCAUACCCUAGGUAUCAAGCCAAACUCUAUCUAUUUUACUCGUCAUGACCGUGCCCGUUUUAAAAUCCCUUUUGAUCUGGACAUAUAUGUGUUCAAUCUUGCAACCAAGACCCUCAAACGCUUCCCUCAACUCGCCAACAUGAAUCUCAAGGAUGCUCAAUGGUUUCACCCCAUGACUUGAACGCCACAAUACAUGCUUUCUCUUUUUAAUUGGCAUUGUAUUUUCUCUCUUUUUAUUUCUGUCUUUGUAUUAAAUUAUAUGACAUUGCCACUUGCUGGACACCUUACUUGGCACUUUCUUUGUUAAACCCUAACCGUCAUGUAAAUUUGUUUGAUAUAAAUCUUGAUUCAGGAAAAAGUCUCCACAUCUCAAUUCGUUUCAACGCUUUGUUUGAUGUAUGUAUGGUCAGACUUAGUUUGAUGUAUGUUGGAAAGUUUGUCUAGUCUUGAAGACCAAGGACUUAACUACUGUCAGCAACUUCAGUUUGAAUCUUCGCUUUGUCCUGACAUUGUAUUAAAAUUAAAUUUACAAUGCUUGUAAGACGAUGCAUCAUGUGGUCGCCAAUUUGGUGUCUUACCAUAUCCUUUUGAAGGUAUAGAAAGAUCUAGGUCUCUUCGCAAAUUGUACUCUUUGUUGAAAUAUAUGUAUCAGUUGGCAAAGGAUUUAGAGUCACACAUAUCAUUACCAAACGACGAAUUUGUUUUAUAAUGUAACUUUGUUUUAUGAGAUUCUCCAGCACUUACUUUGGGAGAGAAAACGCCGGAGGAGUAGACGAAUCAGAAUAUUUUAUUAGAUAGUGUUGUUUUUUGUUGAUUUUUGAGUCUAUAAAUCUAUGCAUUAUUAUUUUUUAUUUUAUUUUUUAUUUGAGCAUUUUAUUUAUAACAAGAUAAGUUUGUAUGUUUGAGAAAGUAUCAAUAUAAUUUGUAUCUUAGUCGGUAGUGUAUAGGUGUGGGUUAAUCAAAGGAGUCGGGUUCGAGUCUCAAUUUUGUUAAAAAAAUUUAAAGCCAAAACGACGACGUUUUAUAAUCUAAAAGAACUUCUAACUGGAUAUUUAACCCUGUUAAUUUUUCCAUCAGUUGACUUCACGUUACGUGUAAAACGGCCGAGUCAACAAACUUUCAUAAUUGACUUUGAAGUCAACCAAAACUUCAUGAUUUUAAUGGCGAUUCUAAAGUCCAAGCUUUUUACAUCCCAUUUUUGAAAGUUCAAGCUUUUUUUGACAUUUUUCCUUAAGUUAGUAGAGAAAAAAAAAAAAGUAGGAGAUUUUCAUUUAUAUUGUUUUUAUCACAUAAUGGUAGGCAUAAAACUAAAAAAUUAAAAUCUUCUAGAGCUAGGGUCAUAGAUUCAGGAGCUAGUCAUCAUGUUACUCAUGAAAGAAACCUUUACAAAGAUUACAAAUCCUUAGAAAGAACUUAUGUUAGAUUACCCAAUAGUCAAACAGUUAAGAUAGAUGGGAUAUGUAACAUUCAACUUACUGAUGCUUUACUUUUAUAAAAUGUGUUUCAUUUCUCUGAAUUUAAGUUCAAUCUAUUGGGUGUCAGUGUAAUAACUAAAUCUUUAAAUUCUAAAGUGAGUUUUACUUCUGAUGAUUGCGUGAUAUAGGCUCUUACUCAUGACCUAUUGAUUGGCAAAGGUAGUUAAGUCGCAAAUUUGUAUGUCUUGAGUUUGGAUAAGUAUCUUAUUCAUGUCUCUGAUCAUACUUUUCAAGGUAAGUCUAUUUGUUCUAUCACUGUUGAUACUUUAGAUGUUUGGCAUAAGAGAUUAGGGAUCCAUCUGUUGCUAAGAUUGAAUCUCUCUCUGAAAAACUGUUAUUACCAAAGUCAAAGAUAAAUAAUUGGUUAGCACCUAAACAAUUUCAUCUUCAGGCCAUUCACAAGAUUCUGAAAUUUGUGAAGGGAACAAUUGGUCAGGGAUUGUUUUAUGGAAGUGGUGAUGUUUUCUCCAUUAGUGGUUUCUGUGAUGAUGAUUGGAGAGCUUGUCAAGAUUCUAGACGAUUAGUCAAAGGAUUUGCUAUCUUGAUUGGUCAAUCUCUUAUCUCAUGGAGGUCCAAGAAACAGAGUAUGGUUUCAAUGAGUUCAGCAUAAUCUGAAUACAGGGCUAUGAGCAAGACCACUAAAGAACUGAUCUGGUUUACUUACAUUCUCAAAGCUUUGCGAAUUCCUUUCACUCUUCCUUGUUAUCUGUACUGUGAUAACAAAGCUGCUCUUCACAUAGCUCAGAACUCUGUUUAUCACGAGAGAACUAAACACAUUGAGUUCGAUUGCCACCAAGUUCGUGAAGCUACUGAUAAUGGUGUUAUGAAGACCAUGUUUGUAAGGAUAGACAAUCAACUUGCAGAUGUCCUUACCAAAGCUCUUCAUCCAGCUCCAUGUAGAGAGAACAUGCGCAAGAUGGGAGUCCUCAAUAUCUACUCGUCUCCAUCUUGAAGGAGGGUAUUAGGAUUGAAAUGUGUUGAGCUGGUUCAGCUGGUUAAGUUAAUUCACUACAAGAAAUUUGCUCAUUGUUAGCGCUAAAAAUUUGCUAUCUUACGUUAUCGAUAGCGAAUUCACAAACGCUAUGUUCUCGGUAGCUAUGGUAGGUGUCACUCCUACGAUAGCGGUUUUGGACAUGCUAUUAUAGUUAAUGAUAUAAUAGCAAAAUUGGAACGCUGUUUUAAAUAGUAAUAUAGCACUUUAAUGUUUUGUUAAAAAAUAACGACGAUUUUAAUUUCGUGCCAUAAUAGGUUAUUCUAUGUUAGCAAUUAGUUCGUGCCAUAAUAGAUUUUUUUUUAGCAUUACUUUUUAUGCUAUGAUAUAUGAUUCUUCUACCAUAAUAGUAAAUAAUUGUUAAGUUUUGUUUAUUUAUGCGGUUUAGUUAUGCUGUAAUACAAUCUUUCACAACUUGUUUGUUUUUGCUAUUAUAUGAAUUUCCAGAACCCAACAUAGAGAAAAAAAGUCUGAAUAGAAAUUUCAUCUAAAGUCAGAAUCAAAAACAACAUAGAGGAAAAAUCCAUACAAAUCAUUCAACAUAACAUAAGUCUAAAUCAUAAGUCUAAAUCCAAAGUAGACAACAAGUGUUAUUCUGAAUUACAUAAUACAGGUUGAUUAGUCUAGUCUAAGACUACUUUAAACUAGCUACCCUGGACCAAAGUUUCUUCAUUCCCUGCAAUAAUCAACAAUGUCUCAUUUCAGUUUCGUAUAUAAAACCAAAGUACAAGGAUCACUGUAAUCUAGAAACUUACCCAGUUUAUUCUUAAACUCAAUAGAUGACAAACUUAUCCAUUGGCCAUGCAAUAGAUGAACCAAGUGAAUCUCUCAUAUAAUCGAUUUCAUCUGAUGCCCUCCAAACUGUUGCAUCAUCUAUUUUCACUAUAUCCACCCAAACUCUAGCUACAUUAGCUCCCAAGCGAACAUUGUGUACCUUUUGGUCUGGGUCGACUGGAUGCACACGUCCUUUAGCAACCACCUGCUUCCUUCCACUGAUAUCCAUUAACUUACACUUCUGAUUGGCCUUGAUAACUUCAGCUACACCUUUACGCUGCCAUGUUACAAUAUAAACCAGUUUUAAUGUAUGUAGAAAAAUAAUCAGAUUCAAUACGUAAUAACAACAAACAAAAUACCGGAGAUCUUCUCAGAGGGAGUUGUGAAUCCAGCAGUUGAAUUUUCUUGACAAGAGACUUUGAACCUGUAGCUGUGGACUUCUUAGCUAUGCCCUUUGAAACUGUUGCAACGGAUUUUGUACUUUUUGCUGUAGAUAUCUCAGGGGAUGGCUUAUAACCUACUGUUGCAGUUUGUGAACCUGAUGCUGCUGCUUUCCUGGACGCUGCUGCUUUCUCUGAUCCUGCUGACUUGCCUACUGAUGCUGCUGACUUGCCUACUGAUGCUGCCGACUUGCCUACCGAUGCUACUGCUUCCAAUGGUGAUUUUCCUCUUGCCGCAGAAUUGUGAAGUGGAGAUAUGUGGCAUGUUGCAUCUGCAGGGUUUUCAAAGAUAACUUUGUUGACAGGCCAUGGAAAGGUAAGUCAUUAAACAGUCCUCAAGGUAAGUCACAUCCAUCGUUGACCUCCAUAUAAAUGUCUCUGGUUGAAGAAUUGCAUCGACAUAUAUCUUCACUAUUGGAGGUCCGAGAGGAUUCCCAUUGACUAAUGCAUUUUGUUCUUGUGUCUGCCAACGUCCUUCUGCAACAACAACAUCAUUUGAAGACAAAUCAAAAAGCUGGCAUUUGUUAUUUGGUCCCUGUCAAAAAUAUUGAAACCCGGAAAUACAUUAUGUUAAUAGAAGAUCAUUACUCUAUAUAUGAGAAUGAGACUGAAUAAUAAACUUUACCUGGCCUACAAUGUCUUCUUAUUGGAGAUCCUCUUCUAGGCUAACACACAUAGCAGCAGGCCAUGCAAUCAUAUGUUCAACGGCUUUCUCAAUGGUGAACAUGUUAGCCGCAGGUCUCCAAAGGAAUGCUUCUGGUUCAAUAUCAGUGUCAAUCAAGACUUUAACAUCGGUAGGACCUAAGCGACAGUCAUUCACUAAUUCACCCAGAUCAUAAGGAAUAAUACAUCCCUCAGCAAUUUUUGCAUACGAACCAGCCCAAUCAAGUAAGACACAUUUUGGUUGUGUCCUUUUGUUCACACUCUGUAAAAGAAAAAGAUAGACAAAGUAUUAAGUGAGUGUAUCUGUUAGAGCAAAUCAAAGCAUAUGAUAUGAGUGACUUACUCUUGAAGCUGAGUUUUCACCUACUUCAGGUGAUUGUAUCUGUUACAAAAAGAGAAAAACAAAGUCAAAUCUUAUGUACUAAUUGAGCUGUAAGUCUUUAUAUAUAAAUAGAUAAGUGCACUAACCUGGUUCUUCAUUUUCUCAAUUAUUUCUUGUAGCUCAUUGACCUUCUUUUGUAGACGAAGCUGAUUCUCUAGCAUUUCAGUCAUACACUUGUGCUUCACUUGGAAACAAGCUAACUUGGUCUUAUUCAUAUUGCGACCCAUUGCUCUCAUUCUACCUACCAGGAUUGUCAGGCCCUAACAGUUACCGUAGUGAAUCUUGUGCUUCAUUUGUUGAUGGAUUAUCAUUGUUAACAAUCUCUUCUGCCUUUUUCUGAAACUCAUAAGAUACAUUUUAAAAUAUCAAGUGUGAUUCAAAAUGCCAAAAUGCAAAUCAAACAAAACAAAAUAACUCACAAUCUUUUCAGCAGCAUUCGUAUUCACUUGUGUACCAUCUUUCUUAGUACGUGACUUAACCCAAACCUUUAGCCUUGUCACUUCAGAUGGGUCUGCACUACCAGUUUUCUAAACCAAAAAAAUGAUCUCAGUUAAUACAUAAGUGUUUGGACUUUGGAAAAAGGCUGAGCAAUAUGAACAAUAUAAGUGUGUACAAGUUUUACCAUGUCUUCGGCAAGUCUAACCAUUCCCCUGCGACUACAAGUGUGUGAAAUCUGAUUGCGCCUUCUUUCCUUGUGGCUAUCGCUUACAACCUAACAGAUGAAUGUUAAUUUCUAUUGUAUAUAGAUAAAUUUACAAAUUCCAAAUGCAUAGCUUAAAUUCUUGGCUAGUUUUGAGCUUCACAAAUUUACGCCAAUCAAAAGGAGAAAUGUUUUUAGGUCGCAUGUUCAUCCUCUCUUGGUUAGUCUUAGCUUCUCUAAUGUUUGUAACUGGCCUUGAUUUCCAGGAGCUCCACAAACAUCCCAUCCGCCUAAGCAAUGUAACCUUUUGGUACUCUUCAUCUAGUUCAAACCUUGUUUGCAAUCAAAAACAAAGCAGUUAAGUACUCACCAAUAUCUAAUAAACUUGUAAAUUUUACACAAAGCUUACCUGAACAGAUUUCCAGAGAACAGUCCUGAGUUCUUCACCAAUUUUAGUCCAACGUUCAAUUGUGAUUGGAACGUGUUCUCUUACUAAUGCCCCUACAAAUGCUGCCAGCUUAACUGAGCCUUUAUCAAUAGACUCUCCCAUGUUACUGAACUCUACUCUUACUCUCGCAUUUGGAUCCUUGGCAAUAUCCUUCAGCCUAGUUGGUCCUCGAUGUCUCUUACGCUUUGGCUCAACAUAUUCAUGACCCUCAGAUAAAACAAGCUCUCCUUAAGGUUCUUCCUCAUUGACCUUAUCCGGAUCUCCAUCAACCACCUGAUCUGGAUCUGCUACUUGAUCUGGUUCCAAAUGAUCUUCACCAUUCACCUUAUUUGCAUCUGAUACUUGAACUUCAGCUGGUUCUACAUGUUCCUCAUCAUUGACUUGUGGUUCAAUUGUACCAAUAUACUCGACCUCAUCAUUGACAUUCUUUGCAUUGACCUUUUUUUGUUACUUCUACCUCGCCUUUUCUUCUGUUGUCCCAUCUUAAAUCACCUGAGAAAAAUGAAAGAGUAAAGGGUUAAGUACACCGGAUGCAGAUAAGACAUUGAACACACUGUGGGAAACAGACAUAAAACAUAGAGAAGACAACAAGGAAUGAAAAUGAAACAAAAAAAAACUACAUUUCACAAACAUAUAUUCCUUCACAAUCAGUCCUCUCAUUCUCAGCGUCAUCCAAGUCAGCGUCUAUGUCAACAUUUGGUGGGAAUGUGCCAAUGGCUGCAAUUGAAUAUACAAACUCUUUCUGACAGAAUCUUCUUGAAGAUCCUCUCAAUGCAACAUACCAAGGUGUUGAGUCAUCUUCUCUUAGGUUAAAAACUUGUUUUGCUUGAGAGGCUAGUAUGUACGGAUCCCAUAAAAAUGAGACUUGACUAUGAUUCAGGUUUAUAAGUGUCUUUUGCAUUAGACCUACAGAUAGCAGUUGCCUCAUAGUACACACCACUGUUCUGAGUUUUUUUUAUCCACUGUUCUUGUAUGAAAUCGCUGCCCAUUCACUAUAUAACCAGUAUAUGUCCUUGCACAACUACGUGGACCAUAAGCUAACCAUUUAAGUGUUUCUUCAUGUCUGUUUGAAUCAAGAGGUAUCUAACAAAUUUAAAAAGAAAAUGUCAGACACCUAUAUGCUUACUGAUAAAGUAUAGUGUUCAAGUGUCAUGUGUGAGAGAUAAACAUGCCUGUUUUUUAAGCCAUGAAGCAAAAUUCUGAGUGUGCAUACUCCAUAACAGUGAUGCAUCACGUCUGCAUCUUACAUUUGAGUCUUGUAGAUGUUCCAGGUGCUCACUAAUACAAGGAGAAAUAAGAAGUAGUUAAAGACAGCCAUAUGGAUAAGUAAAAUAUAUAUAGCUAAGUAAAAUGAACAUGCUGACUGGAACUUACUCAACAUAAGAUUCAAAGACUGCCAUAUUUUGGAUGACAACCAUAUGGGCUAUUUUUGUCUCUAUUUCUGUAAGAUUAAUAUAAGAGCCUGCUGAGAUUGGAGGCCCGUCAAGUAUAAAGUUGCUCUCAUACUAAGUAAUUCUAUCAACAUUUUCCUGAACAUUUGUUGUCUUCUUCAAAAAUUCACUAAAAACUGUAUGCAUUCUUCAGCUAGAUAACAAAAUCCUUUAGAACUUUCAUAUAUCUUUCAAACGGAUACAUCCAUCUGAAAUGAACUGGUCCACCUAACCGAACUUCUCUGCCUAAAUGUACUGUCAAAUCCUCCAUUAUAUCAAAGAAGCUUGGUGGGAAAAACCUUUCAAACAGGCAAAGGGUUUCAACGAUCUCAGUUUCUAGUUCCAAAAGUUGCUCCAUAUCAAUUACUCGUCGACACAAGUGGUUGAAGAACGUACAUAUGCCCCUGAUUGCAACCCUAGGACCUUUAGGUAGCAACCCUCUAAGAGCAAUAUGCAGAAGUAGUUGCAUUAACACGUGAUAAUCCUGUGACUUAAGUCCCGUGACCUUACACUCAUCUAAUGAGACGCCUCUUGAUAUGUCUGAGCAGUACCCAUCUGGACCUUUGAAGUCAUACAACUGUUUGAAGUCAUACAACCAUAAGAUGGUCCCUUCUGGCAGUCGACCCUGCGAUCGAGUAUAUCAGUCAUUUCUAUCACUUUUUACUGUUUUCUGCAUCAACAUUAGGACUGUUAGAAAACCAACCAAAUUCUGCCUGGCUUGACUUAGAAACUUCUGAUCAUAUCUCAUCUGUCUGCAUCACACCCAUUUGGAUUGACACCAAAAAUACUACAACGACAGGAUUAGUGUUUUAGGAUAAUUGAGCAAAAACCUAUUAUCAAUUUGGCGCCGUUGUCAACUGGGUGCUUGUUUGCUAUAUUUGAGAUUUCAAAAUUGUUAAGAUCAAGUUCGUUUUUGUUGUAAGAGAUACUAACAUUGUGUCUUUUCAGACUUUGUAUUUCAGGUACUUAGCAACCAACUUUAUUUGUCAGUUAUAGCCAGGUUGUACCUGUUGCAUGCAUACACGGUCACAAGGGAAUCAGAACUUCCUAUUCAACGAUAACAUCGACCGUAUUGCUUGCCAACUGAGAGAACUGAAAGCAACAGACACCAUGGCUGACAUUGUAGAUGAGCAAAAGCAACCUAACAACAUUGGUGUUGGUGACUUCCCUCACAACCACAACCAGUGUCAUGGCAUUGUUCCACCUCCAAUACAGAACAACAACUUUGAGAUCAAAAGCAGCCUCAUUGCAAUGGUGCAGGAGAACAAGUUUCAUGGCUUGCCAAUGGAGGAUCCGCUCGAUCAUCUAGACGAGUUUGAAAGGCUUUGUAGCCUUACUAAAAUCAAUGGAGUUAGUGAAGAUGGUUUCAAGCUUCGCUUGUUUCCAUUCUCACUUGGAGACAAAGCACAUAUGUGGGAAAAGACGCUACCCUAGGGAUCAAUCACGUCCUAGGAUGACUGCAAAAAGGCUUUCUUGGCAAAAUUCUUCUCCAACUCUAGAAUUGCAAGACUCCAGAAUGAUAUAUCCGGAUUCACUCAGAAGCAAAAUGAAACCUUCUGUGAAGCUUGGGAACGCUUUAAGGGUUAUCAAACCAAAUGCCCUCAUCACGGAUUUAAGCAAGCUUCUCUUCUCAGCACACUCUAUAGAGGCGUCUUACCUAAGAUAAGGAUGCUGCUUGACACCACUUCAAAUGGGAAUUUCCUGAAGAAGGAUGUUGAAGAAGGGUGGGAGCUAGUUGAAAACUUCGCUUAGUCGGAUGGUAAUUAUAAUGAAGAUUAUGACAGAAGCAUCCGCACCAGUUCUGACUCUGAUGACAAGAACCGUAGAGACAUGAAAGCUCUCAAUGACAAACUAGACAAAAUCCUCCAAGUACAGCAGAAACAUGUUCAACUCAUCUCUUAAGAUGAACCAUUCCAAGUACAAGAGGGGGAGAAUGAUCAGUGUCCUGACAGCUAUGUUCAGAAUCAAGGUGGCUACAACAAGGGGUACAACAAUUACAGACCCAACCCAAAUCUGUCAUACAGAAGCACCAAUACCGCCAACCCUCAGGAUCAAGUCUACCCUCAGCAGCAGCAGAACCAACCCAAACCGUUUGUUCCAUACAACUAAAGCCAAGGGUUUGUUCCAAAGCAGCAGUUUCAAGGAGGAUAUCAACAACAUCAGCCACCACCUGGUUUCACACCACAUCAACAACAAGCACCUGCGCAUCAGAAUUCAGACAUAAUGAAAAUGCUCCAGCAGCUCAUUCAAGGACAAGCCAUAGGAGCAAUGGAAAUCGCUAAGAAGCUUGCUGAAUUAAACAACAAAGUCGACCGACAAGGCGUUGAACUUAACAGCAAGUUUGAAUCACUGAGCACUAGGAUGAGAUAUGUGGAAGGCAUCCUCGCUUCACCAUCUGUUAAUAACAACCUAGGCCAGCUUCCAGGGAAAGCAAUCCAGAACCCUAAGGAGUACGCCACUGCUCACGCCAUCACUAUUUGCCAUGAUCGAGAGCUGCCAACUCGACAUGCCUCAACCUCUAUCACUAGGGACAGUGAAGUUCAAGAAGGGGAGGAUUUAGUUCAGAAUGAAAUUCCAGCUGAAAUAGCAAUAGAGGAGCCCAUACUCGAUCGCAGUACUCGAUCGCAAGCUCAAGCAGUACUUUCUUCUGUUAAAACGCCUGUCUCUGCUAAAACCAAGGAUAAAGUCUUUGUUCCUCCACCAUACAAGCCUCCACUACCAUUUCCAGGGAGAUUCAAGAAGCAACUAAUAAAGAAGUAUGAAGCUCUCCUUGAAAAACAAUUGAAGAACCUUGAAAUCACAAUGCCUCUAGUAGACUGUCUUGCGCUAAUAUCGAACUCACACAAGCGUGUGAAGGACAUGAUGACAGAGAGGAUCAAAGAAGUUCAAGGAACUGUGGCGUUAACUCACAAGUGUAGUGCAAUCAUCCAGAAGAAUAUUGUUCAAGAAAAGUUGGAAGAUCCGGGAUCUUUUACUCUACCAUGCUCUAUUAGGCAACUGGCUUUCAGCAACUGUCUAUGUUAUCUAGGAGCUUCAGUCAGCCUAAUGCCACUUUCUAUGGCAAAGAAGCUGGGAUUUGUCAAAUAUAAGUCGUGCGACCUAUCUUUGAUCCUUGCUGAUAGGACCUUAAGAAAACCCUAUGGCCUACUAGAAGAUAUGCCUAUCAAGAUUAAUGGAGUAGAAGUACAGACUUUGUUGUGCUUGAGAUGGAUGAAGAACCUAAGGAUCCUCUGAUGCUAAGAACACCUUUCUUGGCCUCAGUUGGAGCGGUGAUAGACGUCAAAGAUGGAAAGAUUAAUCUCAAUCUUGGGAAGGAUAUAAGGUUAGUGUUUGACAUCAGCAAAGCUCCAAGAAGAUCAACCAUAAAGGGACAGACCUUUAGGGUCCAAGGAGUGGUUACAAAAGAUGGAUUUGAGACUGAAAGAGUAAAGGAACGAAGUUUAGCUCCAACACGACCUUCAAGCUCAACCACUCAAUCUAGUACGCUCUGUGUAGUUGAUUGACCAGAACUUAAAAGGAAGUCUGAUCUCCAAGAAGAAACCAUCCAGAAGCUAGCUUGCACUGUUGAGGAAUUUAGGGAUAAAGUGAGUCGGAUGCAAAGGGAAGCUAUUCAACCUCAACUUGGCAUUGAAACUAUAUCAAAGAAGAAAUUUGUUUCAGAAUGGUCUGAAGAAGAAGACUACCAACAAGCAAUAAAAGAAGAUUACAAGGAAAGGGCCAUUGAAUACUCAAUUAUAAACCUGUCAAGAGAGCAUGCUAAGUCCAAUGUUGCAUCUGCUAAGGAAGAACAAAAGAUUUCAAUUCUUCUCUAUCACCCUCCUUAAGCCUAAUGAGUGUGAGGAGUCAAACUAGAGACUUAAAACAAGCUCACUUGGGAGGAAGUCCCAUGAUUAUCCUUGUAAAUAAUUUUUCUUUCUUGUUAUUUUUGAUUUGUUUUGGUUGUGUUUGUGGUUCUCAGGAAUAGAGAAGUAACCUGGAGAUAGAGUAAAAAUUCAAAAUUUUUACUCCAUCUCAUAGGUGGAGAUCGAGUAUCCCGCGCCAACGGAGGAGGAACAAUAACAAGGUCCCACUAUUCCAUGGGAUUACACCAGAGAGGAGAUGGACGACUACGUCUCCAAAGCCUUCAACUGAGGUACCACAAACAACCAUCAUUGUAUAUACCAUUUUUUGUUUUCGUUUUCUUUUAGUGUCUCUUGAACUCUUCUUUAGACUUCUACUACACAAGGGACUGUGUAGUUUAAGUUUGGGGGAGGAUUCAAGAAGUAUUUAACAUGUUUUCUAGUGAGUCUUAUUUGCAUCAUUUGAGUCUUAACUUCAUCUAAGGCAUAGAAAAAACCAAAAAAAUUGAGAAAAUUUCUGAAAAAUGUAUUCCACAAAAACAAAGUGUUCAUAUAGUUGCAUCACAUUUAGGAUUGAGUCUAUGAUGUUUCAUAUAGGAUUGUCGCAUAUGCAUUGGGGAUUAUGAUGAGAUAGCUUUGUAAGCAUUUUGGUUCAUUGUUGCUAGUUGUCUGAUGCGUAGUCAAUGAAAUUGAAGUAAAACUACACCAUGUCUUGAAUGCUCUACUCGAUUACACUGUUAUUAUCUGAUACCAUUCCCUAUCAAUUUGAACCUGAAUCUGACUUGCAAUUAUAAUGUCUUAGCAUCGAAUUUGAAUUAAAUUUUUCACCACCCUUGCUAACCCCAGUAGCUGCUUCCAUCAUUGAAGUAGUUUCCCUUGCCCUUAACCAAACCUUUCUUUUGAGCCCUAUUAUAUAUCGUGUGUGAUUGUGAGGCCUGUUUCGGGAUUGAGCUUGGAAGAAAGUGUUAGGUUUGAGCCGACAAGAGUAGUGUCUCAUGUAGUUCUAGUCCACGUUUUCUGGGCUAGAUAUGACUAGGUGGGUGUCUAUUCUUGAAGAGGGGAUCGAGUAUAUGAGAAAAAUAAGAGAAAAAGGAAAUGUUGAUGUUUUUAGGAGAAGGAAGUUGAGAAACAAGUUAGUCUAGUAAUGGAUUUUGGGGAACUAAAAAAAAUAUAGGCUUUGUAACAACAGAAGAAAAAAGUCUAGAAAAGUCUUGAUCACAAGAAGAUAACAAGAGCCAUAGUUGUCAAAGAAAACCAAAGUCCACUAGAUCCAUCAAAGUAAAAGAAACUUCUCCUUAGAAUAAGAGUCAAAGAAAAGAAAGUGUGGUUUGAUCCAAGAUAAGAAUGAGAAAAAAAAAAUGCCUUGAGUGCAAAGGGUAGAACUAGGAUCAUAUUCUGGGCUUGAGGGUAGUACCAUCUGCUGGUGUAUACACUGUCUAUGUUUUUGGGUAGAUGGGAUACUAUUCUUGUACGCAUAGGUUGGCUCUUACCUUUAACAUUCUCCUAAACCUCAGUCGAUUUCUUUUGAGAGUCCCCUGUUACAGAAGAAAAAAGUCUAGAAAAGUCUUUAUCACCAGUUAUACUCGAUCGCAGAGGAGAAGAACCAAUCCAUCCUGACAGCUGACACACUUACUCGGUCACAGAGGACAAGAAGCAGCCCAGACCAUUCUGUCAACCAACCUACUCGACCACCACCUCGACCCUCUAAUCAAUCCGCACUCAACCAGACAACCUUAGCAUCAGAAAGAGAAGAGAAGAGAAGGCCCAUUCGAAGCCCAUCAGGAAGCCCACUUUGAGUCGAAUCUCUUGAUCACGCCGUCCAUGGGCCGUUAAGUGGGCUCGAAGCCCGCUUUCUUAUCUUAGUAUAAAUAAGUCUGUAAGGGUUUCGCCCUAAGACAUGCACUUUUAGAGACACGAAUUUUGCAUUAUUAUUCAGCAGCCGCUUUUCAUUCUUACAACUUUGUAUUUCGAUUUAUCUUCUAAGUUAUUCAGAUUUUGCUUUCAUUUGCUUGUUCAUCUUUCGUUUCUAUGUUAUUGUCUUUAAGCAUGUUGUCUUAGUAGUUAUUAGGAUUUCUGAGGAUGGGAGAGAGUAGUUGUGGAACCUCUGGUCGAAUAUGUUGGUUAAGUGUAGAUUUAUUGAAUCCCUUCUGGAUUAGUUGUGUUUACUGCUUAUUCCUUUCUGAUCAACUGGAAUCCGAUCCCAGACGUUCCAGCGCCCAGAAGACGUUUAAUGGAACGUUGAAUCUACUAAUUCCAGUGAUAAUCGUCUCUAUCCCAAGGGAUUGGCCGUUUAGAGCGGUUAAUGGCUUUAACAGUCGGCUCUUAUUGCCUGCUUAGUUAGAGAUCGCUAAUGGGAAUUAGGUCAGUGUCUAGCUAUGCUUGAGGAUUUCUAUCACGGGAGUGAAUUAAUUUGUUGUUGAACUUGUUGUCUAGGGAUAGCUUAAUUGAUAUUUGUUAACCAACUGAAUUGAUUAAGGAGACCACACUAUUCGAUUACCCCAUCCUUAGGAAUUUCUCAUCCAAUUGAUUUCUCUGUUUACUUACCUGUUUCAUUCACUUGCUAUUGAAUUUUAUUAUUUUUCUGUUUUCAAUCGUUCUACUCGAUCACACCAGUCUACUAACAGUGAGACUGCGUGAUAGAGUAAACUGGUCCAUUUCUGCAUUUUCACUCUCUGUCAUCCUGUUGUACUCGAUCACAGGGUCCCUUCUGGCAGUCGACCCUGCGAUCGAGUAUAUUAGUCAUUUCUGUCACUUUUUACUGUUUUCUGCAUAAACACUAGGACUGUUAGAAAACCAACCAAAUUCUGCCUGGCUAGACUUAGCAACUUCUGAUCAUAUCUCAUCUGUCUGCAUCACACCCAUUUGGAUUGACACCUAAAAUACUACAACGACAUGAUUAGUGUUUUAUGAUAAUUGAGCAAAAACCUAUUAUUAUAGCCAAAGUCCAUAUGAGUCUUUGGCUUUGUGUCUUCUAACAAGGAUACAAUUCUUACGCCUUUAAGAUCCGGUUACGGUGUAAGUUCUUACACUCAAUCAUACACAUGACAUCAAGUCAUAUUCGACUCCAAAACACUAACCAACCUUCUUCUUGCUUCUCAAAGGUUUCAUGGUGUAGCCAACGUUCAUAUGAGUCUUUGGCUUUGUCUCUUCUAACAAGGAAACACAACUUAGGCUUUUAAGAUCGGGUUUCGGUUUAAGUUGUUAUACUCAAUCAUACACAUGACAUCAAGUCAUAUUCGACUCCAAAAUACUAACCAACCUUCUUCUUGCUUCUCAAAGCAUUCAUUGAGUAGCCAAAGUCCAUAUGAGUCCUUUGUUUUGUGUUUUCUAACAAGGAUACAAUUCUUACGCCUUUAAGAUCCAGUUGCGGUUUAAAUUCUUAUACUCAAUCAUACACAUGACAUCAAGUCAUAUUUGACUCCAAAACACAAACCAACCUUCUUCAGCUUCUCAAAUCUUUCAUGGUAUGGCCAAAGUCCGUAUGAAUCUUCGGCUUUGUGUCUUCUAACAAGGAAACGCUACUUAGGCUUUUAAGAUCGGGUUGCGGUUUAAGUUCUUAUACUCAAUCAUACACAUGACAUCAAGUCAUAUUCAACUCCAAAACACUAACCAAGCUUCUUCUAGAUUCUCAAAGCUUUCAUGGUGUAGCCAAAAUCCGUAUGAGUCUUUGGCUUUGUGUCUUCUAACAAGGAUACAAUUCUUACGCCUUUAAGAUCCGGUUGCGGUUUAAGUUCUUAUACUCAAUCAUACACAUGACAUCAAGUCAUAUUCGACUCCAAAACACUAACCAACCUUCUUCUUGCUUCUCAAAGCUUNNNNNNNNNNNNNNNNNNNNNNNNNNNNNNNNNNNNNNNNNNNNNNNNNNNNNNNNNNNNNNNNNNNNNNNNNNNNNNNNNNNNNNNNNNNNNNNNNNNNNNNNNNNNNNNNNNNNNNNNNNNNNNNNNNNNNNNNNNNNNNNNNNNNNNNNNNNNNNNNNNNNNNNNNNNNNNNNNNNNNNNNNNNNNNNNNNNNNNNNNNNNNNNNNNNNNNNNNNNNNNNNNNNNNNNNNNNNNNNNNNNNNNNNNNNNNNNNNNNNNNNNNNNNNNNNNNNNNNNNNNNNNNNNNNNNNNNNNNNNNNNNNNNNNNNNNNNNNNNNNNNNNNNNNNNNNNNNNNNNNNNNNNNNNNNNNNNNNNNNNNNNNNNNNNNNNNNNNNNNNNNNNNNNNNNNNNNNNNNNNNNNNNNNNNNNNNNNNNNNNNNNNNNNNNNNNNNNNNNNNNNNNNNNNNNNNNNNNNNNNNNNNNNNNNNNNNNNNNNNNNNNNNNNNNNNNNNNNNNNNNNNNNNNNNNNNNNNNNNNNNNNNNNNNNNNNNNNNNNNNNNNNNNNNNNNNNNNNNNNNNNNNNNNNNNNNNNNNNNNNNNNNNNNNNNNNNNNNNNNNNNNNNNNNNNNNNNNNNNNNNNNNNNNNNNNNNNNNNNNNNNNNNNNNNNNNNNNNNNNNNNNNNNNNNNNNNNNNNNNNNNNNNNNNNNNNNNNNNNNNNNNNNNNNNNNNNNNNNNNNNNNNNNNNNNNNNNNNNNNNNNNNNNNNNNNNNNNNNNNNNNNNNNNNNNNNNNNNNNNNNNNNNNNNNNNNNNNNNNNNNNNNNNNNNNNNNNNNNNNNNNNNNNNNNNNNNNNNNNNNNNNNNNNNNNNNNNNNNNNNNNNNNNNNNNNNNNNNNNNNNNNNNNNNNNNNNNNNNNNNNNNNNNNNNNNNNNNNNNNNNNNNNNNNNNNNNNNNNNNNNNNNNNNNNNNNNNNNNNNNNNNNNNNNNNNNNNNNNNNNNNNNNNNNNNNNNNNNNNNAAGCUUUGAGAAGCAAGAAGAAGGUUGGUUAGUGUUUUAAAGUCGAAUAUGACUUGAUGUCAUGUGUAUGAUUGAGUAUAAGAACUUAAACCGCAACCGGAUCUUAAAGGCGUAAGAAUUGUAUCCUUAUUAGAAGACACAAAGCCAAAGACUCAUAUGGACUUUGGCUACACCAUGAAAGCUUUGAGAAGCAAGAAGAAGGUUGGUUAGUGUUUUAAAGUCAAAUAUGACUUGAUGUCAUGUGUACGAUUGAGUAUAAGAACUUAAACCGCAACCGGAUCUUAAAGGCGUAAGAAUUGUGUCCUUGUUAGAAGACACAAAGCCAAAGACUCAUGUGGACUUUGGCUACACCAUAAAAGCUUUGAGAAGCAAGAAGAAGGUUGGUUAGUGUUUUAAAGUCGAAUAUGACUUGAUGUCAUGUGUAUCAUUGAGUAUAAGAACUUAAACCGCAACCAGAUCUUAAAGGCGUAAGAGAUGUAUCCUUGUUAGAAGACACAAAGCCAAAUACUCAUAUGGACUUUGGCUACACCAUGAAAGCUUUGAGAAGCAAGAAGAAGGUUGGUUAGUGUUUUGGAGUCGAAUAUGACUUGAUGUCAUGUGUAUGAUUGAGUAUAACAACUUAAACCGCAACCCGAUCUUGUAAGCCUAAGUAGUGUAUCGUUGUUAGAAGACACAAAGCCAAAGACUCAUAUGGACUGUGGCUACACCAUGAAAGCUUUGAGAAGCAAGAAGAAGGUUGGUUAGUGUUUUGGAGUCGAAUAUGACUUGAUGUCAUGUGUAUGAUUGAGUAUAAGAACUUAAACCGCAACCUGAUCUAUAAGCCUAAGUAGUGUAUCCUUGUUAGAAGACACAAAGCCAAAGACUCAUAUUGACUUUGGCUACACCAUGAAAACUUUGAGAAGCAAGAAGAAGGUCGGUUAGUGUUUUGGAGUCGAAUAUGACUCGAUGUCAUGUGUAUGAUUGAGUAUAANAAANNNNNNNNNNNNNNNNNNNNNNNNNNNNNNNNNNNNNNNNNNNNNNNNNNNNNNNNCUUAAACCGCAACCUGAUCUAUAAGCCUAAGUAGUGUAUCCUUGUUAGAAGACACAAAGCCAAAGACUCAUAUUGACUUUGGCUACACCAUGAAAACUUUGAGAAGCAAGAAGAAGAUUGGUUAGUGUUUUGGAGUCGAAUAUGACUUGAUGUCAUGUGUAUGAUUGAGUAUAAGAACUUAAACCGCAACCGGAUCUUAAAGGCGUAAGAAUUGUAUCCUUGUUAGAAGACACAAAGCCAAAGACUCAUAUGGACUUUGGCUACACGAUGAAAGCUUUGAGAAGCAAGAAGAAGGUUGGUUAGUGUUUUGGAGUCGAUUAUGACUUGAUGUCAUGUGUAUGAUUGAGUGUAAGAACUUAAACCGCAAGCCGAUCUUAAAGGCGUAAGAAUUGUAUCCUUGUUAGAAGACACAAAGCCAAAGACUCAUAUGGACUUUGGCUACGCCAUGAAAGCUAUGAGAAGCAAGAAGAAGGUUGGUUAGUGUUUUGGAGUCGAAUAUGACUUGAUGUCAUGUGUAUGAUUGAGUAUAAGAACUUAAACCGCAACCCGAUCUUAAAGGCGUAAGAAUUGUAUCCUUGUUAGAAGACACAAAGCCAAAGACUCAUAUGGACUUUGGCUACACCAUGAAAGCUUUGAGAAGCAAGAAGAAGGUUGGUUAGUGUUUUGGAGUCAAAUAUGACUUGAUGUCAUGUGUAUGAUUGAGUAUAACAACUUAAACCGCAACCCGAUCUUGUAAGCCUAAGUAGUGUAUCCUUGUUAGAAGACACAAAGCCAAAGACUCAUAUGGACUUUGGCUACACCAUGAAAGCUUUGAGAAGCAAGAAGAAGGUUGGUUAGUGUUUUAAAGUCGAAUAUGACUUGAUGUCAUGUGUAUGAUUGAGUAUAAGAACUUAAACCGCAACCGGAUCUUAAAGGCGUAAGAAUUGUAUCCUUGUUAGAAGACACAAAGCCAAAGACUCAUAUGGACUUUGGCUACACCAUGAAAGCUUUGAGAAGCAAGAAGAAGGUUGGUUAGUGUUUUGGAGUCGAAUAUGACUUGAUGUCAUGUGUAUGAUUGAGUAUAAGAACUUAAACCUCAACCCGGUCUUAAAGGCGUAAGAAUUGUAUCCUUGUUAGAAGACACAAAGCCAAAGACUCAUAUGGACUUUGGCUACACCAUGAAAGCUUUGAGAAGCAAGUAGAAGGUUGGUUAGUGUUUUGGAGUCGAAUAUGACUUGAUGUCAUGUGUAUGAUUGAGUAUAACAACUUAAACCACAACCCGAUCUUGUAAGCCUAAGUAGUGUAUCCUUGUUAGAAGACACAAAGCCAAAGACUCAUAUGGACUUUGGCUACACCAUGAAAGCUUUGAGAAGCAAGAAGAAGGUUGGUUAGUGUUUUGGAGUCAAAUAUGACUUGAUGUCAUGUGUAUGAUUGAGUAUAACAACUUAAACCGCAACCCGAUCUUGUAAGCCUAAGUAGUGUAUCCUUGUUAGAAGACACAAAGCCAAAGACUCAUAUGGACUUUGGCUACACCAUGAAAGCUUUGAGAAGCAAGAAAAAGGUUGGUUAGUGUUUUAAAGUCGAAUAUGACUUGAUGUCAUGUGUAUGAUUGAGUAUAAGAACUUACACCGCAACCGGAUCUUAAAGGCGUAAGAAUUGUAUCCUUGUUAGAAGACACAAAGCCAAAGACUCAUAUGGACUUUGGCUACACCAUGAAAGCUUUGAGAAGCAAGAAGAAGGUUGGUUAGUGUUUUGGAGUCGAAUAUGACUUGAUGUCAUGUGUAUGAUUGAGUAUAAGAACUUAAACCGCAACCCGAUCUUGUAAGCCUAAGUAGUGUAUCCUUGUUAGAAGACACAAAGCCAAAGACUCAUAUUGACUUUGGCUACACCAUGAAAGCUUUGAGAAGCAAGAAGAAGGUUGUUUAGUGUUUUAAAGUCGAAUAUGACUUGAUGUCAUGUGUAUCAUUGAGUAUAAGAACUUAAACCGCAACCCGAUCUUGUAAGCCUAAGUAGUGUUGCCUUGUUAGAAGACACAAAGCCAAAGACUCAGAUGGACUUUGGCUACUCCAUGAAAGCUUUAAGAAGCAAGAAGAAGGUUGGUUAGUGUUUUGGAGUCGAAUAUGACUUGAUGUCAUGUGUAUGAUUGAGUAUAAGAACUUAAACCGCAACCCGAUCUUAAAGGCGUAAGAAUUGUAUCCUUGUUAAAAGACACAAAGCCAAAGACUCAUAUGGACUUUGGCUACACCAAGAAAGCUUUGAGAAGCAAGAAGAUGGUUGGUUAGUGUUUUGGAGUCGAAUAUGACUUGAUGUCAUGUGUAUGAUUGAGUAUAAGAACUUAAACCGCAACGCGAUCUUAAAGGCGUAAGAAUUGUAUCCUUGUUAGAAGACACAAAGCCAAAGACUCAUAUGGACUUUGGCUACACCAUGAAAGCUUUGAGAAGCAAGAAGAAGGUUGGUUAGUGUUUUGGAGUCGAAUAUGACUUGAUGUCAUGUGUAUGAUUGAGUAUAAGAACUUAAACCGCAACCCGAUCUUGUAAGCCUAAGUAGUGUAUCCUUGUUAGAAGACACAAAGUCAAAGACUCAUAUGGACUUUGGCUACACCAUGAAAGCUUUGAGAAGCAAGAAGAAGGUUGGUUAGUGUUUUGGAGUCAAAUAUGACUUGAUGUCAUGUGUAUGAUUGAGUAUAACAACUUAAACCGCAACCCGAUCUUGUAAGCCUAAGUAGUGUAUCCUUGUUAGAAGACACAAAGCCAAAGACUCAUAUUGACUUUGGCUACACCAUGAAAGCUUUGAAAAGCAAGAAGAAACUCCGUAGUUAAGCGUGCUUAGGCGAGAGUAGUACUAGGCCGGGUGACCUCCCGGACAGUCCUCGUGUUGCAUCCCUCUUUUCUUUUUCGGUUUUUCUCUAUUUUGUUUUGUUAAAAUUGUAUGACUCUAUAACUUUUAGACCGUGAGGCCAAACUUCGCAUGUGAUACCUUUUCGGAAAGCCCAAAGAGAGCUCUCCGAUGAAUGAGGAAGGAAAAUGGAAUUCUUCUAUUGGUUUUUUUUCUAUUCCAAAUUUUGACCUUAAUGUACUUUUUUGGGCCUUUUCGUGAUCUUUGCUAUAUUACGGGGCAAAAUUAUAUGUUCGGACAUUGUUUUCGAAUAUUUUGCAUGUAUCAAAGCUCUUAGAAACAAGAUAUGGUAUUCCUACAUGGCUGGUGUGACCCACGGCAAAUGGAUCAUAAAGUCUUUAAAAAAAGAAUAUAUACGAUUGCAUUGCAUGUAAUAACGGAUGCGAUCAUACCAGCACUAAUGCACCAGAUCCCAUUAAAACUCCGCAGUUAAGCAUACUUGGGCGAGAGUAGUAGUAGGAUGGGUGACCUCCCGGAAAGUACUCGUGUUGCAUCCCUCUUUUCUUUUUUUUUGUUAAAAAUGUACGACUUUAUAACUUUUAGACCAUGAGGCCAAACUUGGAAUGUGAUACCUUUUCGGAAAGCCCAAAGAGAGCUCUCCUAUGAAUGAGGAAAGAAAAUGGAAUUCUUCUAUUGGUUUUUUAUUCUACUCCAAAUUUUGACCUUAAUGUACUUUUUUGGUCUUUUUCGUGAUCUUUGCUAUAUGACAGGGCGAAAAUUAUAUGAUCGUACAUUGUUUUCGAAUAUUUUGCAUGUAUCAAAGCUCUGAUAAACAAGAUAGGGUAUUCCUACAUAGCUGGUGGGAGCCACGGCAAAUGGAUCUUAAAGUCUUCAAAAAAGAAUACAUACGAUUGCAUUGCAUGUAGUAACGGAUGCGAUCAUACCAGCACUAAUGCACCAGAUCCCAUCAGAACUCCGCAGUUAAGCGUGCUUGGGCGAGAGUAGUACUAGGAUAGGGGACCAACCAGAAAGUCCUCGUGGUGCAUCCCACUUUUUCUUUCGGUUUUUCUCUAUUUUGUUUUGUUAAAAAUGUAUGACUCUAUAACGUUUAGACCGUGAGGCAAAACUUGGAAUGUGAUACCUUUUCGGAAAGCCCAAAGAGAGCUCUCCGAUAAAUGAGGAAGGAAAAUGGAAUUCUUCUAUUGGUUUUUUAUUCUACUCCAAAUUUUGACCUUAAUGUACUUUUUUGGUCUUUUUGGUGAUCUUUGCUAUAUGACAGGGCGAAAAUUAUAUGAUCGGACAUUGUUUUCGAAUAUUUUGCAUGUAUCAAAGCUCUUAUAAACAAGAUAGGGUAUUCCUACAUAGCUGGUGGGAGCCACGGCAAAUGGAUCUUAAAGUCUUCAAAAAAAGAAUAGAUACGAUUGCAUUGGAUGUAGUAAACGGAUGCGAUCAUACCAGCACUAAUGCAACGGAUCCCAUCAAAACUCCGCAGUUAAGCGUGCUUGGGCGAGAGUAGUACUAGGCUGGGUGACCUCCCGGACAGUCCUCGUGUUGCAUCCCUCUUUUCUUUUUCGGUUUUUCUCUAUUUUGUUUUGUUAAAAUUGUAUGACUCUAUAACUUUUAGACCGUGACGCCAAACUUCGCAUGUGAUACCUUUUCGGAAAGCCCAAAGAGAGCUCUCCGAUGAAUGAGGAAGGAAAAUGGAAUUCUUCUAUUGGUUUUUUUGCUAUUCCAAAUUUUGACCUUAAUGUACUUUUUUGGUCCUUUUCGUGAUAUUUGCUAUAUUACAGGGCAAAAAUUAUAUGAUCGGACAUUGUUUUCGAAUAUUUUGCAUGUAUCAAAGCUCUUAUAAACAAGAUAUGGUAUUCCUACAUGGCUGGUGUGACCCACGACAAAUGGAUCAUAAAGUCUUAAAAAAAAAGAUAGAUACGAUUGCAUUGCAUGUAGUAAACGGAUGCGAUCAUACCAGCACUAAUGCACCGGAUCCCAUCAAAACUACGCAGUUAAGCGUGCUUGGGCGAGAGUAGUACUAGGCUGGGUGACCUCCCGGAUAGUCCUCGUGUUGCAUCCCUCUUUUCUUUUUCGGUUUUUCUCUAUUUUGUUUUGUUAAAAUUGUAUGACUCUAUAACUUUUAGACCGUGAGGCCAAACUUUGCAUGUGAUACCUUUUCGGAAAGCCCAAAGAGAGCUCUCCGAUGAAUGAGGAAGGAAAAUGGAAUUCUUCUAUUGUUUGUUUUUUCUAUUCCAAAUUUUGACCUUAAUGUACUUUUUCGGGCUUUUUCGUGAUCUUUGCCAUAUUACGGGGCGAAAUUAUAUGUUCGGACAUUGGUUUUGAAUAUUUUGUAUGUAUCAAAGCUCUUAUAAACAAGAUAUGGUAUUCCUACAUGGCUGGCGUGACCCACAGCAAAUGGAUCAUAAAGUCUUCAAAAAAAGAAUAUAUACGAUUGCAUUGCAUGUAGUAACGGAUGCGAUCACACCAGCACUAAUGCACCAGAUCCAAUUAAAACUCCGCAGUUGAGCAUACUUGGGCGAGAGUAGUACUAGGAUGGGUGACCUCCCGGAAAGUCCUCGUGUUGCAUCCCUCUUUUCUUUUUUUUGUUAAAAAUGUACGACUUUAUAACUUUUAGACCAUGAGGCCAAACUUGGAAUGUGAUACCUUUUCGGAAAGCCCAAAGAGAGCUCUCCUAUGAAUGAGGAAAGAAAAUGGAAUUCUUCUAUUGGUUUUUUAUUCUACUCCAAAUUUUGACCUUAAUGUACUUUUUUGGUCUUUUUCGUGAUCUUUGCUAUAUGACAGGGCGAAAAUUAUAUGAUCGGACAUUGUUUUCGAAUAUGUUGCAUGUAUCAAAGCUCUUAUAAACAAGAUAGGGUAUUCCUACAUAGCUGGUGGGAGCCACGGCAAAUGGAUCUUAAAGUCUUCCAAAAAAGAAUAGAUACGAUUGCAUUGCAUGUAGUUAACGGAUGCGAUCAUACCAGCACUAAUGCAACGGAUCCCAUCAAAACUCCGCAGUUAAGCGUACUUGGGCAAGAGUAGUACUAGGAUGGGGGACCUACCAGAAAGUCCCCGUGGUGCAUCCGACUUUUUCUUUCGGUUUUUCUCUAUUUUGUUUUGCUAAAAAUGUAUGAUUCUAUAACGUUUAGACCGUCAGGCCAAACUUGGCAUGUGAUACCUUUUCGGAAGCCCAAAGAGAGCUCUCCGAUGAAUGAGGAAGCAAAAUGGAAUUCUUCUAUUGUUUUUUUUUUCUAUUCCAAAUUUUGAGCUUAAUGUACUUUUUCGGGCCUUUUCGUGAUCUUUGCUAUAUUACGGGGCGAAAAUUAUAUGUUUGGACAUUGUUUUCGAAUAUUUUGCAUGUAUCAAAGCUCAGAUAAACAAGAUAGGGUAUUCCUACAUACCUGGUGGGACCCACGGCAAAUGGAUAGUAAAAUCUUCAAAAAAGAAUAGAUACUAUUGCAUUGCAUGUAGUAAUGGAUGCGAUCAUAUCAGCACUAACGCACCGGAUCCCAUCAAAACUCCACAGUUAAGCGUGUUUGGGCGAGAGUAGUACUAGGAUGGGGGACCUACCAAAAAGUCCUCGUGGUGCAUCCCACUUUUUCUUUCGGUUUUUCUCUAUUUUGUUUUGUUAAAAAUGUAUGACUCUAUAACGUUUAGACCGUCAGGCCAAACUUGGCAUGUGAUACCUUUUCGGAAAGCCCAAAGAGAGCUCUCCGAUGAAUGAGGAAGCAAAAUGAAAUUCUUCUAUUGUUUUUUUUUCUAUUCCAAAUUUUGACCUUAAUGUAGUUUUUCGGGCCUUUUCGUGAUCUUUGCUAUGUUCGGACAUUGUUUUCGAAUAUUUUUCAUGUAUCAAAGCUCUUAUAAACAAGAUAUCGUAUUCCUACAUGGCUGGUGUGACCCACGACAAAUGGAUCAUAAAGUUUUCAAAAAAGAAUAGAUACGAUUGCAUUGCAUGUAGUAAACGGAUGCGAUCAUACCAGCACUAAUGCACCGGAUCCCAUCAAAACUCUACACUUAAGCGUGCUUGGGAGAGAGUAGUACUAGGAUGGGUGACCUCCAAGAAAGUCCUCGUGUUGCAUCCCUCUUUUCUUUUUUCGGUUUUUCUCUAUGUUUUUUUGUUAAAAUUGUAUGACUCUUUAACUUUUAGACCGUGAGGCCAAACUUCGCAUGUGAUACCUUUUCAGAAAGCCCAAAGAGAGCUCUCCGGUGAAUGAGGAAGGAAAAUUGAAUUUUUCUAUUGGUUUUUUUUUCUACUCCAAAUUUUGACGUUAAUGUACUUUUUGGGGCCUUUUCGUGAUCUUUGCUAUAUUACGGAGCGAAAAUUAUAUGUUUGGACAUUGUUUUCGAAUAUUUUGCAUGUAUCAAAGCUCUGAUAAACAAGAUAGGGUAUUCCUACAUAGCUGGUGGGACCCACGGCAAAUGGAUCGUAAAGUCUUCGAAAAAGAAUAGAUACGAUUGCAUUGCAUGUAGUAACGGAUGCGAUCAUACCAGCACUAACGCACCGGAUCCCAUCAAAACUGUGCAGUUAAGCGUGUUUGGGCGAGACUAGUACUAGGAUGGGUGACCUCACGG
rnacentral:lncRNA from 1 species